rnacentral:lncRNA from 1 species
AAAAAAUAAACUAAAAUUAUCCACCAAUAUCAAGUGAAGCGAUGAAAAAAAAAAUCAUUAUAUAUUUAAAUUAUUAAUUUGUUAAGUUUGUUUUUCAAAGUCGACUUGCGAGUUUCAAGUGACAAGUCAAUAAUCAGUAUAGUGGAUCAGUAUCUAUUAACAAGUAGAAGAUUAUACCCUAAAUCCAAAGUGAUUAGUAUUAGAAAUUGGAGAAGAAAAUUGUUUGAGUUUUGGUUUGUAGAUUUAUGACGUUUAAAAUUAUUUUUAAACCGUAGAAGAAAAAUAAAAUGAUAGCUUUCAAUUGGUGUAAUGAUCUUAAUAGUCUAAUGACUUAAAUAAAAAACUUUUGUUUAAUUUAAUGAUUAUUUUAUAAUUUUUUUAAAGUAGAAUGAUCAAAAUUUAUUUUUACUAAUAGUUUAAUGGCUGUAGUUGUAGAUUACCCUUGAUACAAUUAUAGGAUGCUAAUUGAUGUGUUUAUUAGGAAAGCCCUAGAAUAUGGUUAAAAUCGAUUGGGGGUCCCAAAAGUGUCCGGACUGAAGGAGACAGGUUAACACAUCAAUUAAAAAAGCAAACCAAAACCUUACCCUAAGAAAUGAAGAAGAAGAGUUUUGAGUGGCAACGAAGGUGUCCAAUAAGGGAAAAAUAAGGGAGGCGAUAAAUGUAUAUUUUCUUCUGCAACCAAGUGUAUUCUACCCAUUAAAAAGUCCUUGAAAAUGACCCCCCGUUCUCAACUGUAGUAAUGACUUGAGAAAAAUCAAGCAAAGAUGUAAUCCUGCCCACAAAAGUCUCUUCCUUUAGUUUCAAGGUAGAAAAAUUUGAGAAAAAUGUGAUAACUUUUUGUUGGCUUCAAGAUAAAAUCUUGGUAGAUUCGUUUCCAUUAUUGGGUUUUAUAAUUACUUUAAUAUUGCAUGUAAUGCUGUAUUUGCCGGAUCUUACAAUAUUUUAGAAUCCGAUGCAAUGCAAUACGUAUAGGCAAGAAAUGGUUAGUGAAAGUCCUCAAGUUUUGUCUGUUUUCCGCCAUUGAUUCUCCUGUUUUAGACCCUGAUUGAUUAAAUUAAUGGAACCAUUAUUUUACGUUGAGUUCAUUUUUAACUUUUUUUAAUAUUUUUUCAUUGCCCAUGGUUAGAUCUAAACUAAAAAAAAAUUCCACCCUGUUGUAUAUUUGACAAAAAGACCCAUCAAAGAAAAAAAAACAAAAAAGGGGAAGAUUUGCUGCUCAAAACAGGUAUCUGACACCUCCCCAAAGACAUAGGGGUGUUAGAAUCUGGUCUGGAAAAUCAAACAAAGUUUACCCUGUCCAUUUUUUUCUUCGAUGAAUCCUAGAAUGCAAAGCAAUUAUUAUUAAGUCUUUCAUUAAUUGCCUCAAAAGAACCAUUACUGAAUUCAUCAAAGGAAAAAAGGGGUGACAUAUGGAUAGGUUCCCUGAUGUUCUGUGUGGUUGGAGCUGGGAGGAGAACAAGUUGUUUGAGCUGGCUUUAGCAGUGGUCGAUGAACAACACCCUGAUCGUUGGGAAGUGGUAGCCGCCAUGGUUGGAGGGGAAAAAACUGCAGAAGAUGUGCAUAAACAUUAUGUCAUACUUUUGGAGGAUUUGCAGUUUAUCGAAUCGGGUAAACUCGACCAUAAACUUGCCGAAACUCAGUCCUGUAUUCAACUUGACUGCACUCAAUCUGUAUGCUGGACUGAUGAUGAUAACAAGUACUCACAAUUCUUUUUCUUUAUUUUCUUCUUCUUCUACCGAUUCUUUUUUAUUCUUUUUCCCGUCUCUAGUCCAUAUUCCUUAUUCACUAGGAUCCUUACAAAUCACAGCUAAAGAGAGUAAAUUUCGAUAUACAUGCAUCUGAGUUUGUUGACCCAAUCAUUUCUUCACGCAUGCAUAGCCAAAUGGGCCAAUUCCCGGCUCAACCUUGUCUUGGCCGUUCAUAAAGGGACAAAUACAAGAAUCCUGUUUUGCAGCCCCAGGGAACAGUGCCUCUCAAUCUAGGACUUCUCAUUGUUCUACUUACCUUAUUUGUUCCGUUUUUUCUUUCUUCUCCUGCAUCAUAAAUUCAUAAUAUCAAAUUUCAUAAGACAGACAUAUUUCAGGGUGGUUAUUGUGGAUCAAUUAUUCUGCUAUAUUUAUGUGGUUCUACUUCCAUGAUGAUGAAUUUUUAAAUCAUAAGCUUUUGUUAUCCUCAUUUUCUAGCAUUCCAUUAGUCUAGUUUUAGGCAGAUUUGAAGUUUUUCCUUGCAUAAGGCCAAUCAGAGUUGAAACAAUGCUUUUUUAGUUUCUGAUGUUUAAUUGUUUCUCUGCGCCUUACAGCUUGCUGGUUCGAUUAGACAUAAAAUGAUCCCCAGAGCUACUGUAUUGCUGGUUUAUUAUGAAAGCAGAUUUGGUCACUGGUGGCUGUGCCAGAACUUACGCCCCACACGAAUGCAGGUCAUAUUAAUAUAUCAAUUCUAAUGUUAUAUCCCUUGUUCCUUGAUGUAAUCACUUUCUUCAUUGUAAAACAGAAUUUAUGGGAGAAAAAAAUCAACUUUGCAAUUUGUAGAUAGUAGAAAUGGGUCUCUGGGCCUUGUUUAUUUGAAGCUGAUGUCCGACCCUUGUUAUACUUUUUCUUCAGUAAAAAAAUUCCAGUUUUAGGGUGGAUUUCUUUCAUGAAGGUUGCAAAUAAUGUGCUAGACUUGUUUUACUUAUCUCCCUAGUGAUAAUUGGUUUGAAUCUUAAACACACUCAACAAAAUUCCAAAUCAUAUUUGCUUAAUAUGGAUGUGAUUUUUACUCUUUGAAGGUGUCUGCCAAAGGUACCAAGAACUUGAUUUCAUAAAAUAUCAGUACUUUGAAGCUAAAAACAUCCAGACUUUAAAGUGAUAGUUUUUUUUUCCCGAAAUCACGAGAUAACAAGACAAAAUGGAAGCAAAAGCAGAUAACAUUACAUCUGAGGAAAUAAUAAUAUCGUCGUUGUUGCAGUCUUGUCCAUUUGCAUGAAGCUAGUUCUAUUCAAAACCCAGAUCAAAGAACACAAACUUGUUCCAAGCAUAAAACAUUCAACCGUAGUUUACAGUUGGUAAUUGAGGGUGUUGUCCUGGGGGGCAGGUGUGAAAUUCCAUUUUCUGAGAAGAAAACUUUCUUUGCCCAAACAACCUGUAUCAGAAACCUAGUGGCCAUGCCACGGGGUGAAUUUAAAAGCUGGAUUGUGGUAAACCCUGAUAUUCUUCCUCUCCUCUAUCUAUCUCCAGUCUGUCACUUAAAGCAAUGCAGCAUUUAUUCAAGUCUUCUUAUUGUGUCAUUUCCCCCCAAUCAAUGGUGAUAGUGGAAAAAACAAGAAGGUUCCUGGAAAUGGUUGGAGAAUCAAAAUGCAAAUUUCCAUUACCAGUAAAACGAAUAAUCUCUAUACUUGGAUUGAAAAGAAUAGAGAGAAAAUGAAGAUAAAAGAGCUGGGGCCAUUGGGGCUCAACAAAAGUCACCACAAUUACCUUGUUAAAAGGUACCUAUCAUGAACCUGGAUCUAAAUUACAGUCAUAAUAAUAAUUCCAAAAUGGGAUAAGGUGAAAAAGUUAAAUAAAAAAAGAGGGAGGAAAAAAAUGGAGGAGGCAGAGCCAGGGAAGAGGCAGUGCAUGGGCGGAGAAACAACAGAAUCAGUUGGUAGAUCCAUCCAUGCUCAGCCUGUUCCCUGUCUUUGUCUGUCUCUCCCAUCUUUCUCACUCUCUCUCAAUAUUGACUGUUACCUCAUCUUGUUUUGCCUCUGUUGGAAUGCCCCCAAAGAAACCUGCCACACUGAUGUCUAUGGCUCUAUGCUCUCAUCUGAGCUAUUUAAGCUAAACCCCCCAAUAACGUUUACAGUACAACUUGUACUAAACGGACCCUGUACUACAGUACUAGCAACUUCUUUGAGUGCCUGUUGAACAUAAAAGAACCCUUUUUGGUGGGAUGAAUUUGUACUACACUUGUAUCUGCUAGUACUCUCAUAUUCUCCAAUGAUACGAUGACUCUUACCAAAUAAAUUACUUCCAUAAAAGAAUUUAGUGAUUCCGUUAGCCUAAUGCAUCCACUUCAAAUCUUUGAAUAAACAGAUUCAGCUUGUCUUGCAGAUUUCAAAUGGUAAUGUUGGAUUAUGAUGAAAAUCAAUCAAGUAUGGUUGCAUUGAUUGAUAAGAACAAUUCGUAUUCUAUCUUUUUGGAGGAUAUUGGUUUCUUUAUGUAAAAAAAGGAUUAUUAGAGGUAUUUGGAAAAGGGGGAGCUGGUGGUGAAAUUCAGAUCAAAUGUUGGCUGCCGAUCUAAGAAAUCCACAUGAACUAGAAUUAGGCCGAGCAACCUUAUAACCAUCCAGCUUAUUGCACCAAGACAAUCACGAUAUGUAAGCUUUUGAUCAACAAUUUAAUUUUGUUCCUUUACUUUCAUUUAUCAACUUAAAUAAAUCAAUUUAAACCAAAAUUUACCCUGUUCUUUUUUGUUAAUCAACAAACUUGCUUAUGUUGAUUUAAAUUGUUUAAAAUUCAUUUAAAAGCCGAUUUACUAUUAAAUCAUUAUAUAUUAAUAGAAUUAUUAUCUGGGCGCUUAUUUUAUUUAUUUAUUUAUUUAUAGUAUAUUUGAUUAUAUCUAAAAUAUAAUAUAUAUUUUAAUAUUUGUGAACAUAUUUAUUUAUUGUUCAUGAAAUAUUUGUUUAAUUUAAACGAAUAAAUAUAAACGUACAUAAUUUUGAACAAAUGAACACAAAUAUAAAAUUGAAAUUCUUAGCAAGAACAGGUUUAAAAAUAAACAAACAUAGGUUGAUUAACAGCCUUAAUCCAAAAUUCAAACUUUCAAUAAAAUUUGAUUCCGAAGUUGUUUGUUUGAAAUUAAAUUAAAACUAGAACAAAUAAAAAUUGAAGGAUUUGAAUUGAAGAAUAAUAAAAAAGGAUAAAGAAACUAAAUAUAAGUAAAACUGAAAGAAAUGAUCAAAUUUGUCUUAGUAACCACGAUUAUCAGACAAGUUUCAAAAAAAAAAAAACAGAGUUUAACCUAGUUCUACAUAAAUGAACCAAUCAAUUUCAAGCAUAAUUAAAGAAUUGUAUAAUAUCUCUAAUAAUCAAAUAUAAACUUAUCAAAAUCCGUAGUUAAAUAUGUGUAUAGGUGGGACCAUAUAAGAGCUAAACUCAUCAUUUAAUCCAACAAAUACAUUUAUUUAGAAAGUUGAAGAGUGAGUGAAGAUAAUUUGUAUUACGGAUCCCUCAAUUCCACCUGUAAGAUCUCUAAGCUACUCGAACAAGCAAAGAACUUUUGCGAACAAAACCAAAAAGAAGGUAAAAGGAAGCAUCAUCUACGAAUAUGUAUUUACUUUUCAUUAUAUAUAUUUCAAAAGUGGGGAUGAUGAAUACAUAGGCAACAAAGAAUUUACAAUUCAAAUAUGAAUGAGAUCAGAAGCAUCUCGUUGCCCUUUCUCUCUUUUCUGAUUCCAUUUCCUUUUUAUAUAUCACAAUAUAAAAGUAAAAAAAUUGGGAUUUCUAACCUGAAUGAAUGUACAACUCCCCCAUGCAAAUGCCCUUUUCCAAGAACAAGUCUAGAGAAUCUCUAGACAAAUGAAUAUAGUUCACUUGGUCUGUUGAAUAUCACAUUUGAUAUUUUAAGAGAUCAGGAAGAGUGAUUUUCCCAGAGUUAUUUGUAUCAAGCUUGCUGAACUGAUUGCAUAUCUGCAAUAUAUCCUUCUCCCCAACCUUCCCCAUUUCUUUGAGCUUGUAAAUGACAUACUCCGAUUUACUGCAACCAGAAAUUUUAAGGUGGAACAUGAACAACAAAAGCAUCACAAGCAAAAGAACUACAAACAAGCCCCAUUAGUCUGCUAGAAAAUAAAUAAACAUCCUCAUGAAUUCAUAGACUACAAGCCCUUUAAUUUCAAACAAGCAACACAUAGAGUUCAUUCCAAAAUGAGCUAGAAAGAUAGAAACCCGACCUGAUAAAACCAUUGUUGUUUAUGUCAGCAGCUAGCAAAUCCUCAAUAGUGAUAUCCCUAUGUAGUACCCACUUGGCAAUCCUCCUAUGCCGCUUGUUAACCCUUGCUUCAGCCAAAUACAGGAAAGCUCUAGCAACGGCCAGCGUCGAAAUCAAGAGCCAAACACCAGCAAACAAGCGUCCAGGCAGAGUCUUAAAGGCCCUGUCCCCAUAUCCAACUGUGGUAACAGACAUAACAGACAAGUAAAUAGAAUCAACCCAGUCCAAGCUCUCCACAAAGUACAAAAUCAGAGAUCCAAUCCCAAUACACAACACCACAACCCCAAGUGCCAAACUGACUUUAAGCCUAAUCCUCAUCCUUCCUUUGUCCACAUCAACAAUGUAAUCCCUAGCUGAAAACCCUUGUUGUGAUUUCUCCAUCUGAAUCCCAGUUAAUAUCAUGUUCUCUUGCAGGUCGAGGACAUAAUUCACAACCCCACUCAACAAUAUAUCAAUAAAACCAAAACCCACCAACACAAACACACAAGCAAAAAUCUUGGUAGCUGGGGUUAAAGGAGCUAUAUCACCAUAACCAAUGGUGCACAUAGUGACUAUACAGAAGUAGAGAGCAUCAACAACCGGGUGAGUCUCGAUACCCGAGAAUUCAUCUCUGUUAAACGAAUAAAUAACAACACCGAGAAUUAAGUAAAUGGAAAGCAAGAAAACAGCUUGCCUGAUAAUGGAGCUGGACUCGGAUUGAGGUUUAGGCACUUGGGGUGUUUUGGGCUUCAAAUCACGCAUGACAGCCAUGGCCGGAGCCGUUUUACAUCGCUUGAGAGAACCGGGCUUCUUUGACCCUGUACUAGGAACAGGAUAAUCAAAACGGGGAGGGGGUUGAAUCUGCGGGUGGUCCUCGAUUUCAGAUUGCAAGAGGGCUGGUGUUGAGAUUGACUGUGGGAUUGUGAGAUAAAAGCCAUGAUGAGAGUCAUCAAGGAUGUGCCGAAAUUCGGGUUUUGAUUGGGGGGAGAGAAAAGGCUCAUCUGCCAUCUCAGAAAGCAGAAAACCCACACAACAGAAAAAGAAGCCUUUUACUUUUUUGCGUCUUGAAGAUCGUGGUGGUUGUUGAGAGGAAGUUGGCUUCAGGUUUAAACUUUCAAUAUUGUGACAUUGCUUUUAAGGAACACACUCUGCUUUCUCUUCAGUCAAAUAAAAAUUAAAAUUAAAAUAUUCACAUUGCACCUUAUAUACUAUAAUCCUUGUUUGGACGCAAUAUGGAUUAUGUUGCUUCAUUUAGUAAAAUGGUAUAAUUAGGUUCCAAUUAACAACAUUCUUACAUCCACUAUCACUAUUUUAUUCCUAUAAAUACUAAACCAUCCAUUCUUUGUUUACUGAUCUCAUUUCUCUUGCUUUUCUACUUCUUAUCCACUUUAGACUUAAAUAUCAAUAAUAAUAUUGUUUUGUGUAGACAAAUAAACCAUAUUCUUUUAAAAUAAAUCUAAAUAACUUCAGUUUUAUACCUCUUUGAUGAGUUAGUGCAAUAAUAUAGGAUUUUCUUUUCAUCAAUGUUAAAAUAGUUGUAAUUUCUCUAUUUGGUAUGUAAAAUUGCUAUUUAUAAUUCUUUUUCAACUCUUAAAUAAGAGGAUAAAACACGUUUAAAUACAUUUAAACUCUUAUCCUCUUCUAGUGACAACAAUACUCAUGUCAACCAAGUUAAGACUUAAUUGAUUGUAUGUAAAUUUGUUGAAGAAGUAAAACUAAUAAUUACUUUAUGAGUCUUGAUUUGAAUAAAGAAAUGAUUAAAUCUAUUAUCAAAUAGAUAUUUGACAUGGGCACGAACUAAGCUACCUUUGUCCCCUAUCUCUGUAUAGAAAAAAGUAUAUCUUUAUGAAAUAUAACUUUUGCCCAAAGGAAAAAAUUCCAAUAAGGAGUUAUUUUAUAAUAUUUUUUAAAUAUAUAUAUAUAUAUAUCAAAUAUAUUACUUUUUAUUAAAUUAAAUAAAAUUUAUUUUUUAAAAAAAUUUAAUAAAAUUAUUUAAUAAAACAUUUCAUCAAAUAAAAUAUUUUUACAAAAUAAAACGCAAAAAGAAUUUUAUUGAAAAAGAAUUGAAAGUUGGGAAUCAUUUAAAAAAAAUCAAAUGUAUUCCUUAAAAAUAAUGUUAGAAGUGCAGGAGAAAAAACAGAAUUGUAAUAUUAAUUUCUGAGUAAGGACCUAAAAAAAGGGGGGAAAAACUUUUAUAGUAGAAUUUACAAUGUGUAAAAACAUUUUAAAUGAUGUAAUAGGCAUCGAGAUUUAAUAAUAAAAAAAUAAAUUUUUAGUACCAAACUCGUUUGAUAUGGAUUUUUAUAACGUGAUCUCAUCUCUUAUUGUUAAUAUUGUAUAAAAAAUGUAUUAUAAUGUUAAUACCAAUGCUAAGGCAUUUAUAAUUUAUCAUCGUAUUAUUCAAUAUAAAAUUUAGUAAGUGUAAUUUGUCCUACUAUUAUAAAUUAAACCAAUUGAAAGCCACCUAACAUAACUUACUGUGCACGCGCUAUUGGGCAAACUUUAUAGUUUUCCAUCUGCCAAAUUGAACUUGAAAGCCAAGAUGAAGAUUAGUCUAGUUUUAAAUACAGAUAUCCAAUAUAAGGUUUUACAUAUAUAAGGACGGGUGUCUGUUAAAAGGGCAAUCAUCAUUUUCUUUGCCAUAUUCUUUACCAAUGGCGCUGUGUGUUAUGAGAUCAAGGCGAAGCCUAGUGACUCCAUCUCAGCAAACACCAUCUGGCAAGCUUGACUUGUCAUUCAUUGAUAAAGUGCCGGUUCUAAGAUGCUAUACCCGCACAUUGCAUGUAUACAAACAUGGCCCUGAAGCAUCAAAGGUCAUUAGGGAAGCCUUGUCCAAGGCCUUGGUGCCUUACUAUCCACUUGCUGGACGGCUAAAAGAGCCCGAUAACAAUCAGCUUCAGGUUGAAUGUUCGGGAGAAGGUGCCUGGUUCGUCGAGGCAUCAGCUGAUUCUAGCCUUCAUGCAUUCAAUUACUUCGACGAUGCUAAUUUUGACAUUCCUUAUGAUGAACUUCUUCCUGAUCAAGUUCCUAAAAGUGAAGGCAUGGAACCUCUUGUACAAAUGCAGGUACCAGAAUUUUGAAUUUAAACCAACAAUGAUAGUAAUGUGAUUAAGCCUAAUGCAGGCAUUGUGCAUGGGUUUUUCUUUUCAUUAGGCAUCGUGCAUGGGUUUUUCUUUUUCUUUGUCUCAGGUGACACAAUUUGCAUGCGGAGGUUUCGUCAUAGGGUUAAUAUUUUGCCACACCAUAUGCGAUGGCUUAGGAUCUGCACAGUUCCUAAACGCUGUAGGGGAGUUCGCGAGAGGCAUAGAGCAUCUAAGCGUUGAGCCGAUGUGGCAAAGGGACUUUUUUCCAACUCCAACACAAGAUGCAAAUGUUAUCCAAUUGGCAAACUUGCCAGUGCCACCACCCCCGAUGCCUGCCAAGCCGCUAGAGCAUGUGAGCAUUGAUAUUUCCAUGGAUGAAAUCAAUCAGCUAAAGAAACAAUUCCAUGAAUCGACGGGGCAAACUUGCUCUGCUUUCGAAAUCGUGGCUGCUAAUUUUUGGAGCCUUCGAACAAGAGCAAUAAACUUGGAGCCAGGUACUGAAGUCCGGCUUCUUUUCUUUGCAAAUUACCGUCAGCUAGUGGAGCCUCCUUUGCCUAAAGGCUUCUAUGGCAACUGUUUCUUCCCGAUAACAAUCACAGCUCCCUGCGACUUGCUUAAACAAGCAUCAGCAAUCGAAGUGAUUAAACUGAUACGAGAAGCCAAGACUAAGCUACCUUCUGAGUUUGGUAAGUUCAAGAAUGGAGAUUACUUGAGAAAUGGGAAGGACCCAUUUCUAGCACCUCUAGGGUACACCACUUUGUUUAUAUCGGAAUGGGGUAGGUUGGGGUUCAACCAGGUUGACUAUGGGUGGGGCCCUCCGGUCCACAUGGUUCCAAUUCCGGGUUCUAGCAUCAUCCCUGUUGGCAUCAUGGGAUCGUUGCCAUUGCCUAGAAAGGGUGUCCGCUUGAUGACAUGGUGUGUUGAUAAAGACCAUACCCAGCCCUUCGUUGAUCUGAUGACGAAACUAGUCUAACAAGUUACCAAUGCUUGAAGUCUUGAACUGCUAUUGCUUUACCCAACGCCAAUGUCUAAAAUAAAACAACACAGCGCCACCACAUGUUCAAAACAUUUGUGGUUUUUAUUUAUUCCGUUUAAUAACAUUGUAUUUGGUAUUAUCUUGAUCUUCAAAAUCAUCUUUUUAUUAAAAUUAUCUCAUUCACUUGUGGUCAUUUUCAAAUAAAAUUAUUAUUUCUCAAUAAGUAAAUGCCAUUGUGUUUAGUUUUAUUAGAAAGCAAUUUUAUUUUAUUUUUUUUUAUGUUUUGUUCAUAUUUGAGAUUUGAGAUUACCCUUCCCAUCAAUAUUAUUUUUUUAUAGUAAAAUAAUCAUAAUAUAAGAAUUACAUAAUUAACUAUAUAUAUAUUUUUAGAAAACUAUUGAUGGUUUAUUUACUUUAUAAUAAUAUAUAACUAAAUUAAGGCUAUGCUUGUUUCAUUAAAAAUGGUUUUCGAAAAAUAAUUUCUAGAAAAUGACUUAUCUUUUUGGAAUAGUUGAUAUUUUCUGGUGUUUGGAUGAAUCUGUGUAAAAUAUUUUCUAUUGUUUAGUAGAGUUCUUGCAAAUAUUUCAUAAAAUUUGUUUUCAAUGAAAAAAACAUACAUUUGAGAUUUUAUUAUCUUUUCAUUGUUUAAUUGAGUUUAUUUCAUAAAGCUUAUUUAUAUUUUAAUUAAUCAUGUUUUAGUUUUAUGUAAUCUUAAUAGUUUUAUUUAAUCUUAAUUUACUUAAUUAAGCUUAAUUGUUAAUUUCAUACAUUAGGGCAUAUAAAUUUAUGUUUAAUUAAGUUGAAAGUGGCAAAUAUAUCAUUUUUAAUAUUAUUUGGAUGAGUAGGUUAAAAAAAUGAUUUAAUUUGAUAAAAAUUGAAGUAAGUAAAUUAUAUGAUUAUGAAAUAUGAAAUUUUGGAAAGUUGAGCAUAACAUAGUAAAGUUUGAAAUUAUAGGGGUUAAAUUGUAAAGAUUUCAAAACUUGAGUUUUAGGACAAACUUACAUUAUUUGAGAAUUUAAAAUUUUGGAAAAUAGAAUAUGAAAGUUUAACUGUUCAAAACUCAAGGACUAAUUUUUGGAAAUUUUGACAAUUUUAGUUGUAAGGACUAAAUUAUUAAAUCUGAAAAUUUUAGAAAAUGGACUAUUUUGCAAAACUAUACAAAACGAGGUUUAGGAUUGAACUGUGGAAUAAGAAAAUCUGUUUUUGAGGAAUUAAAUUGUAGACUAGUAAAAAUUUGGAUUUUAAGGACUAAAUCAUAAAAAAUAUAAAAUUGAAAUACAAUGGGCUAUUUUAUUCGACAGUGAAGAGAGCUUCCCCUCUGUUGCUUUGAAAACUUCCCCUUUUUAUUUCUUCGACAAUGAAGACAUUGAACAAAAUCUUAUCUGCUUAGAAAAUGUCUUACGAAAAAAAAAAUUGGUAUUACAAUCUUCACUUAUCUAUUAUAUUGCUCAAUACAUUCAUGAAUAAUAUUACUAAUUUUGUCAGCUCUAAUAGUUACCAUGAGUAUUUACUAAUUAUUUUUUGGAAGAAAAAAAUAAUACCUACAAUCUACAAUAAAGUAGAAGGUAAAAAAAAAGGCUAAUCAGUUACUUCUUUCAUCACCCCAAACAAGCCAAUAUUAGCGCUAAGAGUGCGAAAAUGUAACUCGCUGUUUACAAAACUAUUCGGAGUUCUUAGAGCUCCUUGUAAAGCUUGUUGGAAAAUUCAUUGUCGAGCUUGAUUAAUUGCUCUUUGUUGUUCAAAAUAAAUGAUUUCAUUUUUGUAAUUUUUUAAUUCAAAAUCUUAUAAAUUGAAUUAACCAAAUUCAAUUUUUCUCGUUCUAUUUCAGAGAAAGCUUUGAUUUUACUCUCUUUUUAGAGAAUAAUUUCUUUUGAUCAUUUAUUUUUCACUAAACAAAUACUGUAAAAUAAUGAAAAUAUUUUACGAAAAAUAUUUUACAUGCAAAACAAAUAGACCAUGGGUAAAUUUUUUUAAAUAUAAAUUACGUUAAAAUAAAAAUAGUUUAUUAUAUAUAAAAGUAAAAUGUGUGCAAACUGCAAAAUCCGAGGGGUGCCAGCCAUACUUGAACUACUAUUUACUGGUGGCCGACUUAUACAUAAUAGUUGUCUGGACAGUUGGCCCAUUAGUGUAAGAUUUGUUAAUUUGAAUAAACUCGAAGCCCAAAACUGACUGAUUUAGGUCAUGAGUUGCAGUGUAGACAAUACCAUUGAAGGUGGCCCAUACCCAGAUGAUAAUCGAAUAUUGAUGGUAAUGAUUUGAUUUCCUCGAUAUUUUUUAAAGAUUAAAAGAAAAUAAUGUUUUAUCAUCAAAUCGAUCCCAUGUGCCUGGUGGGAAUCAAUGCUAUUCUCAACUUGAGAUUUGGAUUUUUUUGUCCAUUUUGCGGAUGGCAUUGGAAAAUUCCGCCCAAACUCACCGGAGACGGAUGAUAAUGUCAAAAUGCACCCAAACUCUUAUUUUUCUUGGUGGGUUAGUCGUUUUAAUGUCAUCGAGGGCGAGGCGACUACAAUGGGAGUUUUAUUAGGGAAUGAUUUUCUUCCAGAAUUCUUGUUUUACCACUUCAAUGCUCUCAUCAUGUAAGACUUUAAAAUUUCAUCCAUAUGUGAAGACAUGAAUUUUAAAUAAACGAAAAAGGAAAAUCAUCAAAAUUAAAUUAUUAAAACCUUAUUUCCCUCUCAAAAGACGUGAUUGAUCUAAGUAAUUGUAGUUAGUGGUAGAGUCAAGAAGUUGGUAACCGCUCGAUUUUCCUAAAUUAAAUUUUUUUUAUAAUUUAUAAAAUUUGAAAUUAAUAAUAAUAAAAUUGUAUUUUAUUUCUUCAAAAAUGAUAACAGAUUUAUCCAAACACUAAAAUAUACUAACUUUUCCAAAAAAAUAAAUUUUUUUAGUGAAAUUAUUUUUCAAAAACCAUGUCGAAUGAAAUAAGCGGAGCCUAAAUAUAAACAUCAUAUAGUAUAUUAAGCCAGCAACAAUAUUAGCACAUGCAACGAUUGCCUUUUGGUUUUCAUUCACAACGUGAGGAGCCUCUGACGUAUCCUUUGGUGUACUGCAGGCCCAUAUUAGGUGAGGAAAGUAGGUAAGGCAUUUAGGAACCAGUUGAUGUUUAUAUGAUGGAAUCCUUACCUAUGAUAACCCAACGCGAACAUUUUAUCCUACUAAAUAUUGCCAAUUACAUGUCGCCUUUCUGUUGCAACCGGCCAUAUGCCAUUUGGUACCUGCUUCAGCUCGUUUGUCUCCAUUUGAUUUCUAAUUUUUUUUAUCAAUUUAAUACUUAAAUUUAGUUUUAAUGUUUUAUUUGAUAAUUGAGUUUUUUUUUAAAUUGAUACUUAAUAUUUUUUUCUGCACAAUUAUUUAAAUUUAACUUCAGUAUUCAAUUUGAUACAUUAAUUUUUCUUUUAAAAUAUGAAAUUUAUUAAGAUAUAUCAUAAAAAAAUUAAAACACCAAGAGUAAAAUAUACACAACAAAACUAUAAUAUGUGCAUUAAAAUUUAUAUAAAUAAAUUUUAAUUGAGCCAUUAAUUACAAAAAAUCCGAAAGUAAACUAAAAUUAACGGGAAUAUGAUGCAUAUAAACGAACAUGCCAAAAUCUACAUGAAUCAAAUUGUUAAUGUAUAAAAAUUAUAAUAAUUUGAACACACAUGUAUGUAUGGCCCAGUCUUAAAUUGUUUUUUAAACUUUGAAAUAUUCUAAUUGAAUCUUGAAAGUAUCAAUAUCACAUCAAAUAUGCUCUUUUAUUAGUCUAGUCAUUAGUUCGGGUGUUAAAUGCUAAUUUAAAAUUGAUGUGGAGCAUAUUUAAAAUAUGUUGAUCAAAUUAUAAACAUAUAUGUAACUAUUGCAUGAAUAACUCAGAUUUAAUGUUUUUAAUUAGAAAAAAAAAUGACCCUCUUGAUACAAUUUAUUUUUCAUAUUUAACAUGUUUAUGUGAUAAGUACACACGUUUUAACAAUUUGUUCACCGUAUUUAAAAUAUACUCAAUGUCAAAUUCAAACUAAUUUCAAUGUCUAAUCUAACAUAAUGACAUGAUUGAUAUAAUAUUAAUAUUUUGAAAUGGGAGUGGACAAGUUAGAAGUGGAAGGCAAAGCAUUAACAAUUAUAAAGAAAAGUCGGUCCAUAGCCAUUGGCAAAUUAGAAAUAAGUGCAUACAUCAGAGACAUUCAUCACAAGAGGAUUUCAAAGCAUUCAUUUCAAACAUGUACAAAGAUCAACCAACAUAAUUGUUGUUCCAAUAGGGUCGGAAGCGUGUAAAUUAUUGUACUAAAAAAAUCACACAAAGUUCAAUUCCCAGGGAAGAGAGGUGGAUCACAUGGAUCUCUUAAAUACCAAGUCUUUCCUUAGACAGAAUAUCCCUUCUAUAGUAAUUUAAUAGCACAAUUAAAUACUACUAUUAUACCCUCAAAUAUUGAAAGAAAAAUAGGACAAGAAAGAACACAAGAGUUUUAACGAGGUUCGGUAAAUUAUACCUACGUCCUCGGGCACUAACACCAAAUGAUAACUUUACUAUCUUCAAAGUAUUACAAACAAAUAGAAUUCCUUAAGAAUUCUCAAAUGGGAGAAAAAGAAAACUAAGAGAGAAAGAUUGGUUGGGAUGAAUUGAAAUGAGAAAUGAGAAGGCCUAUUUAUAGUUGAGGUUCAAGGACCAAACAAUAAAUAGCCCAUUAUCUCAAGGACCAAAAAAAAAUUAUCCCUUGCCACUUUUCUAAAGUUGGUGGUUGUCAUUAUUGAUUGUCUCCCAUUAAUGUUAAUGGCAACCAUUAUUAAUUGUCUUCCAUUAAUGUUAACAAUCUCCACCUUGAAGAUUUGAUUAGGAUAAUCACAUCUUCACACACUUCCUUCAACUCCCCAAAUUCGAUAAAGCUAUCUUUUGUAGUGCCUACAAAUGCGCUCUCGAGCGCCAUACACCUGAAGGUGCUCAAAUUCUCAGGAUUUUAAUCAAGUUCAAACAAUGAUUAAACUUGAUUGUUAUUACCACCUUGGUCAUCAUAUCUGCGAGAUUAUCUGCUGUCGAAAUCUUCUGAAGUAGAAUUUUUCCUUUUUCAAAGACUUCCCGCACAAAGUGAUAUCUUACGUCGAUAUGCUUGGUUCUUGAAUGAUAGACUUGAUUUUUCGCUAAAUGAAUAGCGCUCUGACUGUCACAAUAUAAACUUAUGUGACUUUGAACAACUCCUAAGUCUUUCAACAAUCCAUUAAGCCAAAUAGCCUCCUUAACAGCUUCUGUAACCGCCAUAUAUUCUGCCUCUGUAGUAGAGACAGCUACUGUAGACUGUAAGGUAGACUUCCAACUUACUGGGGCUUUCGCAAGAGUAAACAGAUACCCCGUAGUUGAACGACGUUUAUCUAAAUCACCAGCAAAGUCGGAAUCAACAUAUCCAACUACAAACUGACCAAGUGCUUCAUCCUAUUCAAAAAUUAAACCAACAUCUACGGUUUUUCGAAGAUACCGUAGAAUCCAUUUCACAGCUUGCCAAUGUCCUUUUCCAGGAUCAUGCAUAUACCUGCUCACAACUCCAACAGCUCGUGAAAUGUCAGGCCUCGUACACACCAUCGCAUACAUCAAACUCCCAACUGCAUUAGCAUAUGGGACUUUCGCCAUAUAUUCUCUUUCUUCUUCAGUUUUCGGAGAUAAUUGAGCACUAAGUUUCAAAUGAGAAGCAAGUGGGGUACUUACAUGUUUUGUGUUUUCAUUUACACCAAAACAUUGUAAUACCUUUUUCAGAUAUUGCUUCUGAUUUAAACAGAGCUUGCCUCUCGGUCUAUCUCUACUUAUCUCCAUGCCGAGAAUCUUCUUGGCCUCACCUAGAUCUUUCAUCUCGAACUCUUGAUUCAACUGAGCCUUCAGCUUAUCUAUCUCAUUUUGGCUCUUCGAAGCGAUUAACAUAUCAUCAACAUACAAGAGUAGAUAAAUGAAAGAUCCGUCAUGCAGCUUCUGCAAAUAUACACAAUUGUCAUAUUUGCUUCUUGUGUACUUCUGCCUUCUCAUAAAGCUAUCAAAUCGUUUGUGCCACUGCCUCGGGGAUUGCUUCAAUCCAUAUAGCGAUUUGUUCAGCUUACAAACCCAAUUUCUACCACCAUCAUCUGUGUAUCCUUCGGGCUGAGUCAUAUAGAUCUCCUCUUCUAACUCUCCAUGCAAGAAAGCCGUCUUAACAUCAAGUUGAGCUAGCUCCAAAUUCAACUGUGCUACCAAGGCCAACAAAAUUCUAAUGGAGGAAUGCUUCACAACAGGGGAAAAUACAUCAUUGUAGUCAAUUCCCUCCUUCUGAGCGUAGCCUUUAGCUACCAAUCUUGCCUUGUAGCGAAUAUCCUUCUUGCUAGGAGAUCCAUCUUUCUUUGCGAAUACCCACUUGCAUCCGAUUGCCCUUUUACCUUUCGGUAAUUACUCUAACUCCCAAGUAUUGUUCUUCCGGAGAGACUGCAUUUCUUCAUCCAUGGCGCUUUUCCAUUUAUCACUUUCUAAGCUUUGCAUUGCUUCUUGAUAAGUGAUAGGAAUAUCAUCAACAACGGGAAGGGCGUAGGCCACCAUAUCAGUAAAUCGAGCAGGUUUACGAAUUUCUCUCCUUGGCCUUGCAACUGCAACUGGUUCUGGUGUACUUAGUGGUUCUUGGGUCAGAACCUCUUCAACCUCUAAUUCCUCCAUUGUGGCUGGAGAAUUAGACUUAUUAACUGGGCAAAUCCCCAUCUGCUCAAACUCCACCUGUUUUGGAGUACACUCCACCUGCUGUGGAGUAUUGCUCGUCUGAAUAUCUUUAUCUGCUACCUUUUUCAAUGUGGCAGAUUCAUCAAAGGUAACAUCUCUGCUACAGAUCAUUUUCUUUGUGCUUAAGCACCAAAGACGAAAUCCCUUCACUCCAGAAGUGAUUCCCAUAAAGAGAGCUUUCUUUGCCCUCGGAUCUAACUUUGACUCCUUCACAUGGUAAUAUGCAGUGGAUCCAAACACAUGUAAGGAAUCAUAAUCUGUAGCCGGUUUUCCAGACCAUACCUCCAUAGGAGUUUUUCUUUCUAAUGCAGAUGAUGGCAAACGAUUAACAAGAUGGCCAGCGUAUGUCACAGCCUCAGCCCAAAAUUACUUGCCCAACCCAGCAUUGGACAACAUACAUCGAACUUUCUCCAGCAAUGUUCGAUUCAUACGCUCUGCCAAUCCAUUCUGCUGUGGUGUAUCCCUAACUGUGAAGUGUCGAACAAUACCAUACUCUUGGCACACAUCGAAGAACGGAUCACUUUUAUAUUCCCUUCCAUUGUCCGUCCUAAGCCGCUUGAUUUUCUUGCCAGUCUGGUUUUUGAUCAUAGUUUUCCAUUUAAGAAAAACUCUAAGCACUUCAUCCUUAGUUCUCAUGGUAUACACCCAAACUCUUCUGGAAAAGUCAUCAACAAAAGUAACAAUGUAGUGUUUUCCUCCCAAUGAAGGUGUCUUGGAAGGCCCCCACACAUCUGAGUGAACAUAUUCCAAAAUACCUUUUGUAUUAUGGAUAGUAGUACCGAAUUUCACUCUCUUUUGCUUUCCCAGAACACAAUGCUCGCAAAAUUUUAAUUUGCAAGCCUUUGCACCUUUCAACAAUCCUUGCUUUGCCAGAAUUUGCAAAGAUUUUUCGCUGGCAUGUCCCAACUUCAUAUGCCACAACUGUAUUGAGUCCAAUUCUUUGUUGCCAGAAGCUGCAGCGACUGCUCCAAUAACUGUACUACCUUGGUAGUAAUACAAGUUAUUUUUCCUGAUGCCCUUCAAUAUCACAAGUGCGCCAGAUGUCACUUUCAAAACCCCAUCUCUCAUAGUAACAACUGAACCAUUGGAUUCCAGGGCUCCCAAUGAGAUGAGAUUUUUCUUCAAACUGGGCACGUACCGAACAUCAGUCAGAACUCUGGUUGAUCCAUCUUUAUUCUUUAAUUGGAUUGAACCUAUCCUAACAGUUUUACAGGCAUUGUCAUUGCCCAUAUAAACAACUCCUCCAUUUAGUUCUACUAAAUCAGAGAACCACUCCCGGUUAGGGGACAUAUGAUAGGUACAACCCGAAUCCAAUAUCCACUCAUCUGAAUGGAAUGACGAUGAUGAUGCAACCAGUGAUAGUUUAGAGUCACUGGUAUCAUGCUUUGCAACACAAGCAUCUACAGCAGCUUUUCCCUUAUUCUUCAACUUUGGACAAUUUUUCUUCCAGUGGCCUUUCUCAUGACAAAAAGCACAUUCAUCUUUCCCGAGUCUGGACUUUGACUUUGAUCUCCCCUUUUGAGUUUUCUUCCGAGUGUAUGAACGACCUCGGACUACUAAAGCUUUUGUAUCUCUGAUUGAGUUUUUCUGUUUGUCCUUCUUUCUCUGUUCAUAACUGUAUAAGGCCGCACAGACUUCGCUCAGAGAUAUAUCACUCCUGCCAUGAAGUAGAGUAGUUUGUAGGAACUCAAACUCCUCAGGAAGUGACCCCAACAGCAUCAAAGCCAAAUCUUCAUCUUUGAAUGUCUCAUCCAUAUUCAGCAAAUCAGUGACUAACUGAUUAAAUUUGGUGAUGUGAUCAUUCAUUGUGGUACUUGGGACGUAUGUGAAGCGAAACAGUCUUUUCUUCAAGUGGAGCUUAUUUUGACUGUUUUUCUUCAAAAAAAUUUCUUCAAGUGCCACCCACAACUUAUUUGCAGAAGUCUCCUUUGAAAAAGCAUACCUCUGCUCUCGAGAAAGGCAUGAUCGAAUUGUGCCACAUGCCAACCGAUUGAUCGCCUUCCAAUCUUUCUCCUGUACAUCAUCUGGUUUCUCUUCAUCAAUGGCAAUGUCUAGACCCUGCUGAAAAAGGGCAUCUAGAACCUCACUUUGCCACAUACCAAAAUGGCCCGUGCCAUCAAAGAUCUCCACGGCCAGUCUUGCAUUUGCAAUUGUCGGUCUUGUCCACAUGGACGAUGUUGAAGCUCCUACACCGACCGUUUUCUCCAUAAUCUUUCAAUAUACCUAAGAAAAUCUUUUCUGAUGUGGAAGAUCAGUUCAAACUGCAACCACAGAGUAUACUACGAUUAACCUUCGGCUCUUGAUACCACUUGUUGUUCCAAUAGGGUCGGAAGCGUGUAAAUUAUUGUACUAAAAAAAUCACACAAAGUUCAAUUCCCAGGGAAGAGAGGUGGAUCACAUGGAUCUCUUAAAUACCAAGUCUUUCCUUAGACAGAAUAUCCCUUCUAUAGUAAUUUAAUAGCAUAAUUAAAUACUACUAUUAUACCCUCAAAUAUUGAAAGAAAAAUAGGACAAGAAAGAACACAAAAGUUUUAACGAGGUUCGGUAAAUUAUACCUACGUCCUCGGGCACUAACACCAGAUGAUAACUUUACUAUCUUCAAAGUAUUACAAACAAAUAGAAUUCCUUAAGAAUUCUCAAAUGGGAGAAAAAGAAAACUAAGAGAGAAAGAUUGGUUGGGAUGAAUUGAAAUGAGAAAUGAGAAGGCCUAUUUAUAGUUGAGGUUCAAGGACCAAACAAUAAAUAGCCCAUUAUCUCAAGGACCAAAAAAAAUUAUCCCUUGCCACUUUUCCAAAGUUGGUGGUUGUCAUUAUUGAUUGUCUCCCAUUAAUGUUAAUGGCAACCAUUAUUAAUUGUCUUCCAUUAAUGUUAACAAUAAUUGCUCACAAACUAGCAUCAGAGAGUUUAAGAAGGAACAAGGAGAUUUACCUGGAAGUCGUGGUGCCGGAAUAUGCUCGGGUGUCGCUGGGAUCAUGACAUCAGAGAGAACGAGAACUCGAUUGAAGAGUGUUUUAGGGUUUCUGAAGAUCAAGGAGAACGAUAGAUAGUGAUCUUGGAGAAGACUAAUCGUGAGCCUCGGAGAACUGUAACUGACAAUAGAAGUAAUAUAAGCUUUCUAGAAAAGCUUGAAAUGGGUGACAGUUCAUUUUCAGAUUGCAUUGAGAUUUUUUUUGUUGUUUUUUUACUUUCCUUUUCCUAGAUAGAUGUUUCUGGAUUAAGGCCGUUAGUUUUCGGCCCAUUCUCUUUUGGUUUGCUUAGAUUUUGUUUUUGGAUUUAUUUAAUAUAGUUCAAUCUGAAUAUUUUUUAAUAUAUAUAUAUAUAUGUAUUCUGAAAAUUCAAUUAAAAUAUUUUAAAAUUUUAAAGAUUAGCUACAAUUAAUUAAUUAAAUUAACCUAAGGACAAAUCAUACUCUAUUAUUCCGAAACACCUUUCCUUAGUAGUACGCACAUGCCACCACCAUCUAUUCUAUGGCUAAUUAAAUAAUUAACAUAAAUAAAUUGUUAAAAAAUAUUAUUAUAUCGUCAUAGAAUUAGGCUAUCAAAUUCUCAAACUCUAGAUAGAGAAUUUUUUGGGAACAACCUUAAAAUUAGGGUAUAGAUUUGGUUUGAAAUUAAAAAUUUAAUAUUCUACCCCGUAUAUAUUAUGCUUAAGAAUAAAGGAAGGAAAUGUUCUUCGAAAAAAAAAAACCAAAGAGAGAAGGAAAUGUAUACGUAUGCGAAUAUCAUAUUUUAGAAGCAAUUUUAUAUAUAUUAAAUUACUUUAUUUGGUUGAAAUGUAAUAUUAUGUUGUUUGGGCUGUGGAAUGUAAAAUUAAUUUAAAAAGAUAUUUUAUUAAAUUAUUUUCCGUUAUAAAAAAAUAUAAAAAAAGUUAUUAAACUAUAUUUAAAACAAAAGUGAAAUAUGAAAAAAUAUAAAAAGUUAACACAAUAAUAAUAUAUAAAAGGUUUGACCCAAUCUUUGAGAAGGCCUGUAAAUUUUGUGUUGAUUUUUAAUAAUAUUCCUAGGACAGCCAAUAGGAUUACUCACGGUAAAGAAACGAGUUAUUGGAUUUUAAAGUUGAAACAUUCAUUCAUUAGCAAAAGAAGAUGAAAAAUGGAGUGUUAUUCGUACAAUUUUUCAUGGCAAUUACUCGGCAGAAAACAUCAAACAGAAAAUCCUUAUUACAGGACCAAGUUUACUGAGUUCCGUGUCUUCAACAAAUAUUUAUUCCAAUUUCAAAUGGACAACAACAAAGGGUUCACCACCUCAGUUUCUUAUGAAUCUAUUGCAUAAUGCUUUUUGAAUAAACUGCAAACAAUGUUUGAACAUUACACUAUAAAGUAAUGUUGAAUCACAUGCCGGCUUCAAGCCCUCCAUUCCAACAACAAUUAGGGAUAUGAGUUUUCCUUACCAACAAAUCCUACCCUUCAAGUUCGAGGCGGUUGGUUGGUAAAUGCCUAAUUACCUAUUGAAUUAUUCUCCUGUCCCACACCUAUCUGCUUCUUCUCAUAAUUUCUUCUGACUUGUUUUUAGUUUCUCACAUUAGAUUUCUAAUUUUAUACAAAGAUUUUCUUCAGAAAAUAUAAAGUCAGUUUUAAUCUAUUGGUUUCUCCAACAUCAUUUUGUCUGACUUGUUUUUUGUUUCUCACAUUAUAUUUUUAAAUAUAUCAUCAAUUCUUUUAUACAAUUAAACGGUAAAUUCACAAACAUAAAAUUUAACUCGAAUUUUUCAUCAAAAAGAGUUCAAUUUCAUUAACUAUGGAAAUUCAAUUGACCAAUUAUUCCCAUCUCUAUUUUUUUUCCUUAAAAGAUAAAAAUAAUUGCAAAAUAUAAAAAAAAUUAAAAAAAUGUUGAGAAAGAAGAUAUCAUUUCUUUUUACGUUUAUUUUUUUGUAUUUUCCUAUAAUUAAGAAUAAAAAAAUUAUUAAUUAGAUUCUUAACAUUAUUAAUUUUUUUUUCAAAAAUAAAAUAAAUGUGAUUGGGUUAGGUAUGGAUUAUUUUAACUUAAAUUAUGGUUGGGUUCUCUCUAUUUUGUUUAAUUUUAAGAAAAUAGUUCCUAUAUUUUUAUAGUAUCAUUAAUGAGUACAAAUAGUUAACACCCUUAGUUAUUUUGGUUUAAUUGUUGAAGCGAAAUUUUUUCUGAAAAAUACAGAUUUUAAUUUAUCAUAUAGAGAUAGAUAUUUUUGCAUGGUAGGUGUUUUAAAAAGAAAUUAUCUCCACAUUUUAUCAAAAUAGUUGUGGAUACCAAGCAUAUCUUAUGGAAAUGGAACUCUAACUUAGAAGUUUUCGAUCGGUAAGAGGUGUACAUUAGGGAUGUCCAUUGUCUCUUUAUUUAUUUGUCUUGUGUAUGGAAUGGCUCAGACAUACUAUUCUUUCCGAUGUCAACUCUGGGCGAUGGAUUCCUAUUUGUCUAUCUCGUUCAAGUCCCUCUCUUUCCCAUCUUUUCUUUGCUGACAACUUGAUUCUCUUUGGUCAAGUUGGGGAAAGUCAAGCUAGGGUUCUAAAAGAAGUGUUGGACAAUUUUUGUGACUAUUCUAGACACAGGAUUAAUGCUUAUAAAGCUAAUAUCUGUUUUUCAAAGGGAGUGAAUGAUGAGUUAGCAGGACGCGUAUGUCAUAUCCUCGGGUUUCAUAGAGUUCAAAAUCUUGGAAAAUAUUUGGGUGUUCCUCUCUUUCACGAUAGAGUGACUAACAAUUCUUUGCGUUUUAUCGUUGAUAACGUCCGUAGUAAAUUACAAAGUUGGGACACUAGGAAGUUGUCACUAGUCGGAAGGGCCACUUUGGCCCAGUCGGUUUUGAUGGCAAUUCCUAGCUAUUUUAUGCAAUCAAUGAUGAUUCCCAAAGGGCUCUGUAAUAUCCUGAUUUUGGGCCUAGUCGGAAUAGUGGUUUCGUGACCACAAAAUCCGAGAUAGAAAUAAUUAUUUUAUAAUUAUUUUGAGGUCUAUGAUAUGAUUGCAUGAUUGUGUGAAAAUUUCGUGAAGAAAUUUUAUGCAUAAAGUGCUUAAAUUGAAAUUAGGGAAUAACUCGAAUAAUUUGUAAAACUUGCAUUCUAGAAGUUUCUAGUAUGAAAUUGUUUUGAAAUAUUAAUUAGGAGGUCUUAAAUAGAAAAUUUACCAAUUUCUAAGUCUAUGGAGAAAAAUUGGACAUGGAUGGAAUUUUUGGAAAGUUUAGUAGUAAGGGCAUUUUGGUCAUUUAGGGGUAAAAUGAAUUAAAAUACAAAAUUAAAAGCCAAUUUUGCUCAUCUUCAACCCCAUGGCCGAAUACAGCAAGGAGAAACCAUGGCUAGGGUUUUUCAAGCUUCCAAGCUCGAUUGUAAGUCCGUUCUAGUCUCGUUUUUAAUGAUUUUUACAUUUUUGGAAUCCCAGUAAUUUGAUUUAACUUAUUCUAACAAUAAUUUAACCUAGGUUUUAUAUUUGGAAAAAUACCCAUAGGUGAAAUUUGUGUAUUUUGGUGUUUUAUGAUAGAAUAUAAGGUUUUAAAUUAUGUUAGACAACUUGUGCUACUCGGUUUUAAGUGAAAACGAGCAAAAGGGCUUAAUCGGUAAAAAUACCUAAUAGUCAUAAGUACAUGUUAGAGUGAGAAUUUGAUGUUGCCAUAGAAGGGAAAAAUGAUCAGCAUGUCAUAAAACAUAAGAAAAUAGGCUGAAGUUUAAUUUACGAGCUUUGGGUCAAAAGUGUAAAUAUGUAAAAGUUUAGGGGCAAAACUGUAAUUUUUCCAAAAUAUGAUUUUGGGUCAAUUUGAAUAAUGUGAGUCCUAAUUAGACUAUAUUUUAAAUGAUAGAGCAAGGAAAACUAAAAUUCGGGCUAAAAUAGGGAAAAUACCAAGUUAUGGACGAAAUGGUAAAAGUAGCAAUUUUCGCAUACGAGGUAAGUUCAUGUGUAAAUAAUGUAGCAUAAUUGUUAUUUUUAAGUUAUUGAUGUUAAUUAUAUGAUACGCUGAUUUUUAAUCGUGAAAUAUUAUGCUUUGUGGUUAAUGUUGAGUAAUAUGCAAAUUAUGUUUACUACUUGAUAAAUAUGAAUUGCUACCGAGUAUCGGUUCCGAUAUUCCAUGGAAGACGACAAAUGUGAGAUCGAGGGAAAAAGCCCGUUUGAACCUUAGGAAUAGAUUAGGAUACAAGUGACAUGUCACUAGGAUGUUUGAGCAUUCGAACUCGUUGAGUUGAGUCCGAGUUCACUUAUGGAUGCGAAUGUCUGAACUCGUUGAGUUGAGUCCGAGUUCGAGCGAUGUAACUAGGCAUCCGAGCUCGUUGAGUUGAGUCCGAGUUCACUUAUGGAUGCGAACACCCGAGCUCGUUGAGUUGAGUCCGAGUUCACUUAUGGGCGGGUUACAUGGUAGCUUGGCUACAUAUGUGGCACUUAUGUGCAAACUUUCCAUGUAUCCGAAUUAUAUUCCGAUGUGUUCAACGGGUAAAAUUCUACUCAAAUGGAGGAAUACUCGAGAUGAAAGGGACGUAUUGGUAAGUGUUGUGAAAUGAAUACUUUGAACAGGUAUGUACUUAACCCUCGGGUUGAAAACUCGAUAUAACAACAAUAUGGUAAGAUGAUAAAUGAAAAUGUGAUAUGAAUGUCUCGAUGAUGAUUUUGCAAAUGAUGUUUUAUGUUUGCUUAUAUAGUUAUGUUACUUGCUAUUUGCAUGUGAACUUACUAAGCAUUUAUGCUUACUCCCUCCUUUUCAUUCCUUGUAGUGUUGACAAGCCAGCUCGGAAAUCGGAAACGGUCAGAGGCACGCUCACACUAUCCGUAUACCAUCUUGGCAUAAUGGCUUGUAUAUUUUGAGUAUGACAUGUAUAGCAUUAUAAUCAUUUUGUGUAUAUGGUCUUAUGAUAUGGUUAUUGAGUGGUAUGGAAAUGCUUGGUAAUGAUUAGCCAUUGGAAUGGGUAAUCAUGAUCAUAUUUGGUGUUAUGUAUGCUAAAUUGCUAGCUAAUCCAUGGAAACCAUGAAAUAGGUAAAAUUUACCAUAAAAUAGAUUCAGACAGCAGCAGUGACGUGAGUUUGAAAAAUCACUAAAAAUAGUAUAGAUACAAUUAGAUGAUGAAUAAUAUAUGGAAUUGAAGAAUUAUGAGUCUAUUUUCAUAUGGAUGGAACAAAACAGGUAUAUGAGUUAUAUUUUAUGAGAUGUUUAAAUUUUUGUGAAACAGGCCCAGAGCAAUUUCUGGAUCCCCUGUUCUGACUUUGGAAAUUCACCAUAAAUUGUUCAAAGAUAAUUAGAAGUCAUAAUUUAUAUGUACAGAUUCCUUAUUGAGUCUAGUUUUAUUAGAAACAAACCUUGUAGUCAUUGAAAUUCUUUAUAGAGAGAUAUCUGAUUCGUAAUACACAGAUGUCAGAGCAGUCGAACCCUGAAACAGGGGAGACUUUAACUAAUAAAAUGUACUAAUUUUAUCAACCAAAAAUUCUAUAAAAAAAAUUAGUAAAUAUAUAUAUGAGUCUAGUUUCAGAAAAAAUUUACGGAAUUGGAUUUCGAGUUUCGUAACUCGAGAUAUGAAUUUUUAAGCGACUAUGACGCAGAUUGUUAGCUUGACUUAAAAUUUUAAAAAUAAAUUGUUUGAGCUGUUUAAGUAAUGAAUUAAGUCUAUUAACACCUCGUGUUCGACUCCGGCGACGGUCUCGGGUACGGGGCGUUACAGGCUCUAUGAGGAAAUAGAAUGAAUUGGUUAGACAAUUCAUCUGGGGGUCUUCUAAUGGUGAGAAGAAAUUGGCUUUGGUUAGUUGGGACAACAUUUGCCAACCUCGGGAUCAUGGUGGUCUAGGUUUUCGAAAGUUGAAAGAUCAUAACACCUCUUUUAUGAUGAAAUUGGGUUAUAGUAUUAUAACUGAUUCUAAGGCGCUUUGGGUUAUGGUUCUAAGGUCCAAAUACAAUAUUUCAAGUGGAUUUCCAGAAACAUUGUCGCGGGGAAGAGGUUCUUUCUUGUGGACAACCCUCACUAAAGCUUGGCCACUUAUUCGAGAGAAUUUGAUAUGGUCAGUAGGGGAUGGUACUAAAUAUUAGGUGUUUGUGUGACCCUUGGAUCUUGAAAGCGGGAUCGUUGGCUAAUAUUAUUCUUAGACAUUCCACUCUAGACAUGGAUUGUCUUUUGAGUGAUAUGGUGACAAAGGAUGACGAUUAGAACCUAGAUCUCUUUCGUCUUUGGCUCCCAAAGGAGGUGAUUUGGAAGAUUGUAGAGAUCCCUCUGCCUCAUCCGGAAGCAGGGCCUGAUAGGAUAAUUUUAGGAGGUAUCUCUACAGAUUCAUUUUCCCUAAAAAAAGCCUAUAAGAAGCUCCAAAAAAGGUUAUGGAAUCCAAAAGACCGAUGUGGCGCAUCCCCUAAAAAUUUUAAGGGCCCUGUGACAGCCCUAAAUUGACCCUAGUCGGGAAAUGGUUUCGGGACCACAAAACCGAGUCAUAAAAAUAAUUAACCGUUAUUUUCUAUGCUUAUUGUGCGUGAACAUGCAUGUGUGAAAGUUCCAAUCUUUAAUUUAUUCAUUUGAAUGUGAAUUUAUUUAAUAGGACUUAUAUAAGACAUUUUUAAAAUGUGAUAGGUUAAUGUGUAAGGGUCUAUUAAUGCAUGUUAUAAAAGUAUGGACUUGCAUGUCAAAUUGUCCAUUUUAGUUAGUGGCCGGCCAUGUUGUUAAUUAUUAUAUAACAUAGAUAUAUUUAUUUCUAUUAUAUGGUUUUAUAAUAUAGAAUAAGGUUAUUAAAGAUAGAAAAGGGGUGAAGAAAAAAAAAGAAUUCAUCUUUACUUCCUUCUAGCCGAAAAUAAGAGAGCAAAAGAGGAAAUAGCUUAAGUCUUUCGGUCACCUUUGAGCUGGAAAUUAAGGUAAGAAAUUCAAGUUAGUUUUUUUAAAUCUUAGCAUAGUUUAAGCUAGAUCCUAAGUUCCUUACUUAGCCCAUGCCAAAAUUUUGAAGUUGAUGGUGAUAUGAACAUUCGGCUAUGGAAGAUGUUAAAGAGAAUGGUUGUAAUGUUAUAUAUAUUUUGAUAGUAUAUUAGAUGGUUUGAGAUUUGAGCUAGUUACAUGUGCUAUUAUGAAGAUUUAUGGAUGUUUUAGAAUCGGCCUAAGUGUUUUAGUCAUUAAUAUAUAUAUUGCCGAAUGGAUGCUUAAGGAAUUGGUUAAGUACAUUGUUGUUAAAGCUUGUUGUUUUUGUAUAAUUGUUGCCUAGCUACUAAAUGAACUUAGGGUAUUAUAGAUAAGUUUAAGAGUGGCAUAAUUGAAAUGAAGUUUCCUUGUGCCGAAUGUGGUUUUAGUGCAUGAAUUAGGAGUUUAAUUUCAUUCGGUAACUCAUACCAAAUUGGGAGAUAGUAUUAAACAUUAGUAUUAUUUGUUAAAAAAAAAUUGAAGUGAGCUUUGAAUGGUUGUUUUGCUUAUAAUGGCUGAAUGUGAACUUAAGUUUUGAAUUACAAUUGAAGCUUGUUAGUCAGUUGAUGAUGUCCUUUGAUAGCCCUUUUGAUAUUCGGCCAUUGUUAAUGAAUUUUGAAUUAGUUAUAAAUUUCUAUGUUUUAAUUAGCAAAUUUAAUUAUUGAAGGUUGAGCUAAUUAUAUAUGAUGAUAUGCUCUAAACUCAAAUGGUAAGUUCUUAAGUGUUUGGACUUGGAAAUUUAAGAGCAAAUUGUAAUAAUCUGCUUAGGACAGCAGCAGUAGCGUGAUUUUUGAAAAUCACCAUAAAUUGUUGGAGUGGAAUUAGAGACUGAAUAAAAUAUGUAAUCAAAGCUCAAUGAGUCUAGUUUCUUAUAAAAUAAACAGUGAAAGCAAAGGAAUUUUCUAUAGAGAGAUAUUUAAAGUUGUGUGUGACAGUGUCAGAAUGAAUCCGUGAUCCCUUGUUCUGUUUUUAGAAAAUCAUUAUAAAUAGUACAAAAAUUUUUAUAAGAUAAAAUUUAUAUUCUUAGACUCCUUAAUGAGUCUAGUUUCAAAUUAAAUAAACAAGAACAUAUUUUGAAAUCUGUACAAUGAGAAAUUUGAUUCGUAGUGAAGAGUGGUCAGUAUAGUCAAACAGUGAAAUAGGGGAAACUUUAAGAAAAUUCUGGUCUUGAUUGGCCAAACCAAAAAACCUUAAAAUUUUAUGGAUAAAAGGUAAAUGAGUCUAUUUUCAAGAAAAAUUUAUGGAAACUGAUUUGGAGUUUCGUACCUCCGGUUAUAAAUAAUUUAAUGACUGUUGCUCAGGAAGUCAGCUUAUAGUGAAAUUGUGAUUAUAUUGUAAACAUUGAUUCUUAUAAGCUUACUAUAAUCUGUAUGUGUGAAAUUCGAAUAUAUAUGUAUUAUAUUCUGAAAAUGAUAUUUGAAUAGUCGAUUAAUGAUUAGUUUAAAAUUUGUUGAAUUAAAGCUCAAGAGCAUAGGGGGGCAACUUCGAAUAAGGGAGAAGAGAAAGUAACCGAGUAACCAUUUCGCAACCGUUCAAAUAUAUCCGAGGUAAGUUUUAAGUAGUUUCCUUUAGUAUAUAAUUGACGAUGCCACUAUAAGGGUAUAGUAGGUAAAUUGUGAUCUUUGGCUUGCACUUAAAUUAAGAUGUAUAAUAGAUAAUGCAUGUAUAUGACUUAUAGUUUGAUGGCCACUUUGAAUUUAAGAUUAAAUGAUGAAUAGAAUGAGUGAUAUGAGAUAUAACCACUGAGCUGAAAUGUGAAUGAUGAUGUGCGUAUCGAGUUUAUAUUCGAAUGUAAUAUACGACUAUUAAGUGAUAAGGUGACUGUCAUGUGUUAUGACCAAAUGUGUAUGAGAUUGAAAAUAUCCGGACAUGAGGUCUGCAGGCUAUAUGCUGGAAAAAUAUCCGGACAUGAGAUCCGCAGGCUAUAUGCUAGGAAUAUAUCCGGACUUGAGGUCCGCAGGCUACGUGCUGGAAAAAUAUCCGGGUUAAAGACCCGCAGGCUUACGCUAGUAAUGUAUUCCGAGCUCUAAGAUUUGACAGAACCGAUGCCAGUAAGUUAAAUAAGAUUUCGACUUCGAAUAUCAGUGGUAAACAUCGUUGCGUAAGUAUUAUAUGUUUUACAUGUUAAGGUUCGUGUUAUGUGCUUAUAGUUGAAUUGAUUUUUUUUAGUGAUUUAAUAGUAUCAAGGCACGAAAUAUAUAUAUGUGCGUGAAUGAAUUCGGUAUUUGAGGAUAAGACAAUAAUAUAAUUGGUUAAUGUAAGUCACCAUAUGAAAGAAUGUGAUUAAAGGUAUUAGUAUAAUCUAUGUAAAUAGUGAAAUAUUUGCAAGAAGUCUUGUGUAUACAUACAUACAUAUCCGGUCAAGCGGUUUGUAACUAAUGUACUGAUGUAUAUUUGGUCAAGUGAAUUACAAUUAGAAUACAAGUUUUGUGAUACUCAAUGUUCAAUUUUUAUGAUGAGCAUUAAUAGUAUGAAUUACUUAAAACUUACUAAGCCUCGAAAGCUUACUCUGUUUCUUAUUUCUUUGUUUUAUAGAUUGUUGAUUUUGGCUAUUGACUCGGGGAUCGUCAGCAGUUCUUCAUACUAUCGAUCUUUUUGGUACAGUUAUAUUUUGGACUCGAUAUAGCAUGUAUAGGUUGGACUGUUGACAAAGAAAAAAAACAAAAAAAAAUAUGUUUUAAAAUUGUAAUUAUCUUGGCCGUAUGAAAAUGGCACUUAUGACUUAUAAAUAUGUAUGUAUUCAGUUCGAUUUAUACUUGUGUCGGUAGAUUAUGUGAUUGAAAUUAAAUGUUUAGCUUGGUAAUACCUCAUAGCCUAUACCGGCGAUCGGAUACGGGCUAGGGGUGUUACAGGCCCCAACAGGUUAGGUUCUUUAUUUGGCUUGCUUUCAAUCAACGCCUGCUUACCAAGAGGGAACUCGCACGAUGAAGACUAGGGCAUGAUUCAGUAUGUGACGUUUGUGGUCAUGGUUCAGAGGAUGUGUGUAAUACCCCCUACCCAUAUUCAUUACCGGAGUAGGAUACGAGGUAUUACCGGAGUUUACGAUUUUUUUUAUAUUCAAUAUAGCCCCUUUAUAAAUAUCUAACCUUCCCUGCAACAUUAAAUCGAGACCAAUCCACUUCAACCAAACCAAUUCAACAUAUUUUCAAGAUAAAUUCAUGCAUAUUUAUAAGAUAACGUCAUCACAUACCCAAAACUAGGUUUGUUAACCAUACUAAUGGCUAACUUUAUAUUCAUUUCAUGUUAACAUUUACUUUAUUAGCUUAUACAUGCCAUUGAUUUCCAAAAUAAAGUUUCUUUAUAUACCGAAAUCCUGAGGUUGAUAGUGUGAUGUGUCUCCGACCAAAUCCGACCUCCAAGCUCUUAACACUACAAAACAGGGAAAAAGGAAACGGGGUAAGCACUUCGUGCUUAGUAAACUCAUGUAACAAAAAUUAUACUUACCUAAUAUUUUCAAUACAAUACAAUAAAUAUUCAUAUAUCCAUUCAAUGCAGUAUUACCCUAAUAUGCACAAACUCAACAUUCAAGUUAGUAUAAUAAUUUCCAUGUACCAAUAAUAUAUACCAUCAUUGAUGAGCUCAUCAAUAUCAUAAUUUCCAUUUCCUUGUUAUUUUUCCAUAUUUAUCCCGUUGAAUUUAUCGGAAUUUCGAUGGAUUUUCAGAGGUACACUUUUAGUGUACAAUUCCGGGUCCGUCAAUUCAUAUUCAUGUGCGCACAUUUCCAUUUCAGAGAGCACACUCCCGCGAACCUUAACCUUGCAGCGGGAUUACCAGUCCAGGCUAAAUCCCCUGCAACGACAAUUACUCUAAUGAUCUUGGAUCUGAAUUACUAGUCCAGGCUAAAUUCAGACCCUAAUUCGGAUUACCCGUACGGGCUAAAUCCAUUUUACACAUAUUCUUCGGGAGGGCUAUAUCAGGAUAGGAUCACCCGUCCGGGCUAGAUCCUUUUUACCGUCAAUUCCUUUUCAGAGAUCCAUCGAAUUUUCCUUUCAUUCAAACGGGAUUUCUUCCCAUUUUAUCAAAUAUAUCAAUGUUUCAUUAAUUUUCAUACAAUGAACAUUCAAAUCAUAUUCACAUCAAUAACAUACAAUCUCAAGCAAUUUAAGAAUAUAAUUCAAGUUGCACGAACUUACCUUGAUACUUGUUUGUAAACAAAAAAAAAUCUACUAAUCCCGAACUUUUUCCUUUCCUCGAUCUAGCUUCGUAUUUGAAUCUUCUGGAUCUAAAUAAAUAAAUUUAAUUAUCAAUUUAAUACAUUUCAUGUUCAUAUGCAACAUUCUCUAUAAUUCAACUAUUAUUAUUUAUAGUUUAUUCAAAGCUAUCUAUUUGAGUCAUAGUCACUAAUUAUUUAUAACUCGAUCUACGGAACUCCAAAUUAAGAUCCGUUAGUUUUCCCUGAAACUAGACUCAUAUAUAUUCUUACCAUAAAAUUUUUAGAAUUUUUAGUUUAGCCAAUAAGUACAGUUUAUUCUUUAAAGUCACCCCUGUUCUGCUGUCUGACAGUUCUGACCCUUCUUCACUAAAAAUUAAUUAUCUCUUCAUACAGGAUUCAAAUGAUGUUCUUGUUUGUUUCUAUUAAAAAUAGACUCAUUAAGGAUUUUAUGCAUAUAAAUUUGAGCCCCUAAUUAUUUUUAUUCAAUUUUUUUUUAUUUUUCAAAUUCAGAACAGGGGAACCCGAAUUCAUUCUGAUCUUGUCUCACAAAAUUCAUUAUAUCUCAAAAUUUACAAAUCCAUUGCUUACACUAUUUCUUCUAUGAGAAACUAGACUCAAUAAGCUUUAAUUCCAUAUUUUGUUCAUCUUCUAAUUCGAUUUAUAAAAUUUAUGGUGAUUUUUCAAAGUUAGUCUACUGCUGCUGUCCAAACUGUUUUUGUGCAAGCUGUUUAUUACCAUUUUUCCCCUAAGCUUUUAAUAAAUGAUAAUUUCGUCCCUACUCAAUUAGCCUCUCAAUUGAGCUGAUUUUUCUCAAUUAAAAUUUUAUUAUAUCACCUUAAACUAGUUUACAACCUUUAGGAAUCAUAAUUUCAGCAAUAGACUUUAAUUCCAAGCAUUUUCACAAUUAGGUCCUAAAAAUCAAUUUCUAUUGAAAUUACCUAAUAAAAUCAUCUCAUAAACAAAUUAAAGCUUUAAUUUCAUUAUAUUUCAUCAUAAAAUUACAAAAAUCAACCAUGGUGACUUUCAAUUUCAUACAUGAAAUCAAAAACUAAUGAAUUUAAUAGUAGGACCUAGUUGUAAAAGUCUUAGAAACAUAAAAAUUACAAGAUAAAGGCAAGGAUUAACUCACUUGGUGAAAAAGUAUGAAAUAGCAGCUUAUAUAACCCUCCUAUGGCGUUUUUAGCUGCUGGAAUUGAAGAGAAAUGAAGAGAAAUUUAGAUAUUUCCUAUUUAGUCCUAGUUUUAUUUAGUUAAUUUUGCAAUAUUCCAAUUUUGCCCUUAAUUUAUCAAUUUUCCUGCUGAUUUCAUGCCCUUUCUGUCCAGCCAUAAUAAAUUUUGGGUCUAAUUUCCUUUUAAAACCUUUAUCAUUAGACUCUUAAGCUAUUUAAUCAUUCUAGCAACUUUUACACCUAUUACAAUUUAGUCCUUUUCAUUUAAUUGACUACCCAAACAUUAAAAUUUCUUACGAAAUUUUAAUACCACAUUACUAACAUUUCAUAAAUAUUUAUAAAAUUAUUUUAGACUCGGUUUUACGAGAUAGAGGUCUCGAUACCUUGUUUUUACCCAAUUUCUUUAAUAAUUUCUUUUUCUAACUAACCACUAAAUCGGUAAAAUUUUUUCUAUCAAUAUUUUCAUAUGAUUUUCCUAUCAUAUCAAUUUUCAUGCAAAAAUAUUGAAAUAAAUUUCUCUUUAAAUUGGAUUUGUGGUUACGAAACCACUAUUACGAUAACCUUGAAUUUAGGCCAUUACAAUGUGCUUCAUGUUAUUAGGGAUUGUCCUGCAACGAGAAAUAUUUAGGAUCAUCUAAUUCCAGUCGAAUGGUAUUCUAUGUUCUAUGCAGGAAAUUUAUAUGAGUGGCUUGUGUUAAACUUGGAAAAUUAGCAUGGUUGGUGCUUCGGAGAUGUAGAUUGGCAAUAUCUAUUUGGGAUCAUCGCUUGGCAUAUUUAGAAGAAUCACAAUCUUUUCCUUUUCCAGGGUGCUCCAUGGAGUGAUAAUGAAACUAUUAAGGUGACGUAUAGUUGGGCAAAACAAUACGUCUCUUCUACAAGGGGCAUGUCAACUGAAACACGAUGUAAGUUUUCAUCUUCAUAUUUAACUAACGAUUGGGUCACAUUGAGUAAAGAUGGAUCUAUCUAGAAAGAAGUUGGUUUUGCGGCGGUAGGGGGAAUAGUGCAAGAUCAAGGUGGAACGUGGAUUCUUGGAUUUAAUAGAUAUUUGGGAAAUUUUUUUGUUUUUUAUGCUGAGUCGUGGGGUAUUUUGGAUGGUCUGAUUAUUUUAAGUGAACGGGGCUAUGACAAUGUGUUAAUUCAAUCUGACUAUCUUGAGCCGGUUACGACUAUUCAAGAGAGGUCUUCAGAAGGAUCCAAUUAUACUUUGGUUAGGAGAAUUCAUUAGAUGUUGUCAUGGUUCAAACAGUGGAGCUUUAGACACAUUUCUAGCAAGGAAAAUCAGGAUGCUGAUCAUAUGGUCAAUCUAGUCCAACAUAGAACUAAAGAUUUACGUUUGUUUGAGAUCUCCUAGUUUGAGGGAUUGGUCUGGUUUUUGUUAUAAGUUUAUUUAUUUUACUUUUUCACCAAAAAAAAAAGUUGUGGAUAAUAAAUAUUUAAACUAAUUAAUAUCAUUACAAAAAUAGAUAAUUAAAUUAUGUUAAAUUAAAAUAUAAAGAUUAAAUCAAAAUAUGAUGAUAGUAUAGAUUAAGUUGCUCCAUUAUAGUGCAGCAUGAAAAAGGACAACGGAAAAGAGUUAGGCGGGUUUAGACUUCUUGCUUUUCUUUUUGUUUUCUCUCUUGUGAUCCACGUCCGUUACAUAAAUUAUUUCAAAUUCCUUUUCAUCAAAUGUGAUUACACCUCUUUCGUCAAAAGUUUGAAAAUCCUCUUUGUAAUGUUAAAUAAGCCCUUAAAAUCUACCUUUUUUUAUUAUUAUUUACGUUUUUUCAGACUUUUCUUUUUGGUAUAAUAUUAUCUAAUAAUUAUGUGUUAGAUAUCACAUUCUUACUUAAUCACAUUAAUUUUUUAAAUAAAAUUGAUAUUUUUAUUUUUAAAAAAAAGGCAAGUUUGUAUGUUCUUAUAUGAGUUUUUUUUAAUAUAUCUUUUAAUAGAAACUUUUUAAUCGUCGGUAUUACUAGGAUAUGUUUUAAUUAAUCGAUCAACUAUCAUAUAUUAAUUUCUCUAAACACAUAUUAGAAUUUGAUAGUCCAAAUUUACCGGCAUUAUUCUUUUAUCCUUCAAAUCAGAGUCAUUGGCGGGACUUCCUUUUAAGAUAUCCUCAAGCAUAUCAGUUACAACCUUGCUAUCACAUUCAAUUAUUGUUUUAUAAUAGCUCCUCAGUCGAACUCAAAGUAAUAAUUGCCCACAAUUCAGCGGUAAGCACAGAACUUGUGUUGCUGGUAAUCUGCUGGAAAAUAAUUGCCCAUUCUCAUCAUCAAAUUGCCGAAGGGAAUCACAAGAAAUAGGAAACAAACCAAGGCUAAAACCAACAUGAUUUGGUAGCCUAAAUCAUCAUCUCUUUUGAAAUGACCAUAUCUUCUGUGAUAUCGCUUCAUUUUCUAUACAAUAUAGUACUAUCCUGGACCACCUUUCUUUUUUCAUAAAAAGAUUAAUAAUAAGAAGAAGAAGAAAAAAUAAUAAUAAUAACGUCGAGUGUUAUUCCCUAAUGCCUAUAUUAUUACUUUGAAGAACCUCUUCAGAGUGGCUGGUAAUCUGCUGGAAAAUAAUUUUGUUCCUAUUCUUCCACAAAAACCAACAAGCGACAGCAAACGUUACACCCUAAUCUGCUAUCCUCGAAUUCAAAGUAAGUGAGAAAAAUGAUAUAAUUUAGAGCUUAAUUUUAUAAUUAAGGCAAUAAUUAUUCAAAGUAAAAUUUAGAUGGGAUUCCAAAUAAAAGAAAUUAACUCCUCAAUUAGCACUUGCUUGAAGUCAGAUCUCUGGACACACCCUUCGUCACACCUUGGAUUAAAAUUCAGGUGUUAAAAGUUUGUAAAUAUAGGCAUUAGGGAAUAACACUCGACGUUAUUAUUUUUAUUUUCUUCUUCUUAUUAUUAUUAAUCUUGUUAUGAAAAAAGAAAGGUGGUCCAGGAUAGUACUAUAUUGUAUAGAAAACGAAGCGAUAUCCCAGUAGAUAUGGUCAUUUCAAAAGAGAGGAUGAUUUAGGCUACCAAAUCAUGUUGAUUUUAGCCUUGGUUUGUUUCCUAUUUCUUGUGAUUCCCUUCGGCAAUUUGAUGAUGAGAAUGGUUGUCUUUUUCAGUGGCAAGUCACUACUCCAAGCCAUGCCAAGCCAGCAAUCUUAUAUUUUAUGCCGUUACACUAUUGUUUGGAGACAAGGAAUAAAACAAUCGGGAUACGGUUGAUGAAAGUGAAAACCCCAGAAACUUUUGACUAGGUUUGCAACACUUCAGCCCAGGGUUUGAUUGAAUAACGGUGAAUGAUACUUUUUUACAUGGAAAAAAAGGCUUGCUGGUCAAGGCAAAUACUCACCAGUCACCAAAGAGCAUAUAAAUAUGCUUUUAAACAGAGAGAGGCUAGCCUUUAACAAAGUUUGGAGUAAGUUGAAACUCCAAAUCCCUGAGAGUAUUUCAUUUCGAACUUUUAUCAAGUAAAUGUUUCUCAAUCUCUCUUUUCAUUAUUCUGUUCUGUUCUUAUCUUUGUCUUUUUCCUUGGUGACUUGGGAGGGUAUCUCAAGUUUGGUUUAUGCUCAAAUGAUGCCUUUAUAGAAAAAUUUUCUUCACUUUCUGUUGCACUGCUGAUAAAGCAUAACUGCAGCUUUUGCAAAUUUGUUUUUUUUUUUUUCCUUUAGACGGGUGCUUGGGAGUCAUUGUUGCAGAGAAAUUUCCUGUUAAUAAUAGGGGAACAAUCUUGCUUAAAUUAAUUGGCUUAAAUUAAUUGAUUUGUUUGCAGCAGCCACAACAUAAUAAAUCCUAUAGAUUCUGAAGUUGUUGAGUAUCAAAGUAAUUGCUUGGGAGCCACUCAAUGGCCUCCGAGAAUGGUUUUAAUGGUGAGAAAGUUACCGACUUGCAUGAAGCCGGUACAUCGAAAAGCCAGGAAGAGUCACAGAAAGUCCCUGGCGAUAAUGGAGAAAAUCAAGAUCCUGAAAGCAGCAAAGGAGAUGAGAAAACUAACACGGUUCCAUUUUACAAGCUGUUUGCAUUUGCUGAUUCUACGGAUAUCUUAUUAAUGAUCGUCGGCACAACCGCUGCAACUGGGAAUGGUCUAUCUAUGCCCCUUAUGACAAUCCUGUUUGGGAAUCUCAUUGAUUCUUUUGGAACAAACCAGAGUAAUGGCAACGUGGUUGAAGCUGUCUCCAAGGUAUUUCUGCAUGUAGCACGAACAUAGCUGGUGUGUCUUUUUACUUUUAGUUUAUUGUUUUGUUUAAACGUCUCACAUGGGGAUUAUUAACUGAAUUCUUAAAACCAUAUCUAAGGUUUCUGUGAGAUUUGUCUACCUGGCGAUGGGGGCUGCGGCGGCUGCGUUUCUCCGUAAGAAAAUCUCUAAUUUAAAUCAUAUUGCCUGAUGUUUAAUGUGGCUUCAGACUCAUGCUGAAAAGCUUGGAUAUUGUUAUUUUUUUCAGAGGUGAGUUGCUGGAUGAUCACAGGUGAGAGACAAGCUGCACGAAUACGGGGCCUGUACUUGAAAACCAUAUUGAGGCAAGACGUUGCUUUCUUUGAUGUGGAAACAAACACAGGGGAAGUUAUUGGAAGAAUGUCGGGGGACACAGUUCUCAUACAGGACGCCAUGGGCGAAAAGGUAUACGACUAUACUAUCCUAGUCUUGACUAGGAUGUUUAGAAUCUUCGUUGAGUAAGAUGUUUUCAUUGGAAUCAUAAUACACAUGUAACCAUGGAAUAUUCACCUCUUUUUUGCAGGUAGGGAAGUUUUCACAAUUGAUAUCCACGUUCAUUGGAGGCUUUGUUAUAGCAUUUGUCAAAGGAUGGCUUCUUACUCUCGUAAUGUUAUCUGCUAUCCCUCUACUUGUAAUAUCUGGUGGAACCAUAGCCGUUAUAGUAUCCAAGAUGGCAUCCCGGGGACAAAAUGCUUAUGCUAAAGCUGCCACUGUAGUUGAACAGACAAUUGGUUCGAUCCGAACUGUAAGUUCUAUAUUAAAAAUAGUCGCAGCUAAGUUAUCAAUUUUUGCCCCUAUUUUUUGGUGAAAAUAUAUGGCCAAUCAUUGACUUGAUUCCAGGUUGCGUCGUUUACUGGUGAGAAGCAAGCAAUAAACAAUUACAAUAAGUCACUUGUUACUGCUUAUAGAUCAGGCGUUCAUGAAGGCACCGCUGCUGGAGUAGGUAUUGGCUUAGUUAUGCUAGUUAUAUUCUGCAGUUAUGCUUUGGCUGUCUGGUUUGGUGGGAAGAUGAUUUUGGAGAAAGGGUACACUGGUGGUGAAGUACUUAAUGUGAUCAUGGCUGUAUUGACAGGUUCCAUGUGAGUUUAAAUUUUGAAUUUUGUCCAUCUUCUACUUUAUUAAGCGUGCUUCAUAGGCUAAAUUCCUUGGUACCUACGGACGUUUCAGGUCUCUGGGGCAAGCAUCUCCAUGCAUGACUGCGUUUGCGGCUGGUCAAGCUGCAGCGUUUAAGAUGUUUGAGACCAUCAAAAGGAAGCCAGAGAUUGAUUCCUAUGACACGAGUGGAAAAGUGUUGGAGGAUAUUCGUGGGGAUGUAGAACUGAGGGAUGUUUAUUUCAGUUACCCUGCCAGACCAGAGGAGCAAGUUUUCAGUGGAUUCUCUCUUUCUAUUCCAAGUGGCACAACAGUAGCUUUGGUUGGACAAAGUGGAAGUGGGAAAUCAACUGCAAUCAGCCUGAUCGAGAGAUUUUAUGAUCCACAAGCCGGUGAGGUUCUUAUCGAUGGCAUUAAUCUCAAGGAGUUCCAGCUUAGAUGGAUAAGGGGAAAGAUUGGUCUUGUUAGCCAGGAACCAGUGUUGUUUACGUCAAGCAUAAGGGAUAAUAUCGCAUAUGGUAAAGAAGAUGCAACCACGGAAGAGAUAAGAGCAGCAGCUGAACUUGCAAAUGCUGCUAACUUCAUUGAUAAACUACCUCAGGUUUUAGUUUAUUGUCCGAUUAAUUUUAUUUUAUAUAUCAACUUCAAUAUAUGAAUUGCACAUUUUAAUUUACUUUUGAAACUAUGGACUCCAUGCAUAGGGACUAGAUACCAUGGUUGGAGAGCAUGGAACUCAGCUUUCUGGUGGACAAAAGCAGAGAGUGGCAAUUGCAAGAGCAAUCUUGAAAGACCCACGGAUUUUGCUUUUAGACGAAGCUACAAGUGCACUCGACGCAGAAUCUGAAAGAGUUGUUCAAGAGGCAUUGGACAGGAUAAUGGGCAAUAGGACUACUGUCAUUGUUGCUCAUCGUUUAAGUACUGUGAGAAAUGCAGAUUCGAUUGCUGUAAUUCAUAAAGGAAAGAUGGUUGAAAAAGGUAGUUAUAAUCAUAUAUUUCUUGAACUUCAUCUUAAUUGUAAGUGGAGCUAUCUAACAGACGCAUGUUAUCAAGGGGAUACAUUUUUAUUCCACUAACUAAACCUGGAUUUGCCUGCAUGUUGGUGUAUUUUCAGACAUUUUGCGUAUUUCCAUUGCAUAUCUUAAAUAUUAAGGAAUAUGUUUGUAACACGUUUAACAUAUUGCUUGUAGUUCUUAUUUCUUUUUUUUGCAUUUGCAUCAGCAGUGUUAUGCUCCACAACAACAUACUUUAUCACAGUCGAUAACAUUUCUUCGAAUUGACAGGGUCGCAUUCAGAACUACUCAAGGAUCCUGAGGGAGCUUACUCUCAGCUCAUUCGUUUACAAGAAGUAAAUAAAGGGUUGGAACAGCUUGCAGAUGUAUCAGAUGUUAAUCAAGAAUUGUUCAGACAAUCGAGCCUAAGAAGGUCAUUCAAGCGAUCAAUCAGCAGGGGAUCAUCUAGAACUAGCAGCCGCAAUUCUUCUUUCUCUCAACCUUUUGGUUUACCUACUGAAAUGAAUGUCACUGAUCCUGCAAUGUUAGAUACAGAAGACCCUGCUGAACCACCAUUGAAACAGGCUAAGGAGGUUUCUAUCCUCCGGCUUGCUUACCUCAACAAGCCGGAGAUUCCUGUGAUCUUAAUUGGAACUCUUUUUGCAGCUGCCAACGGUGUGAUACUUCCACUUUUCGGUAUCCUGAUUUCCAAUAUGAUCAAAACAUUUUAUCAACCUCCUGAUGAAUUGAAAAAGGAUUCAAGAUUCUGGGCACUGAUAUUUUUGUCCCUUGGCCUGGCAUCAUUUCUGAUAAAUCCUGCUCGAACAUACUUCUUUUCUAUCGCCGGAUGUAAAUUAAUCCAACGAAUCAGAUCAACAUGUUUCGAGAAAGUGGUCCGCAUGGAAGUUGCUUGGUUCGAUGAACCUGAUAAUUCAAGUGGUUCAAUAGGUGCAAGGCUCUCGGCAGACGCAGCCUCGAUACGUGCCCUGGUUGGAGAUGCACUAGCUCAGUUGGUCUCAAGCUUUGCAUCAGCAUUGGCUGGUUUAGUUAUUGCUUUUGUUGCAAGUUGGCAGAUGGCAUUUAUUAUCCUAGUAUUAAUCCCUCUCAUAGGGGUCAAUGGAUACAUUCAAGCAAAAUUCAUGAAGGGAUUCAGUGCAGAUGCAAAGGUAUGCCUGAAUAUUGCUUACAUAAUUGUGAAAAAUAAGUAAAAGGGGCAUAUAUUUUUAAGAAUAUUAUUGAUUUAUACAUGUAUACAUAAAUUGUUGCAGAUGAUGUAUGAGGAGGCCAGCCAAGUUGCCAGUGAUGCAGUUGGGAGUAUAAGAACAGUUGCUUCCUUUUGUGCAGAGGAAAAGGUAAUGCAACUCUACAAAAAGAAAUGUGAGGGUCCAAUGAAAACCGGGAUAAGGCAGGGUUUGAUUAGCGGAUCAGGAUUCGGACUUGCGUUCUUCUUUCUGUUUUCUGUUUAUGCAACAAGUUUCUAUGCAGGAGCUCAACUUGUUGAGCACGGCCAGGCGACAUUCACAGAUGUUUUUCAAGUGAGUUUGACAUCUUUGGAUCUUUUUUGUUAAGGCAUGCUAUUUAAUUUUGUAUGUCCCUAUGAUGCUGAAACCAAUAUUUAUUUCGCAGGUUUUCUUAGCUUUAACCAUGGCAGCUGUUGGAAUUUCUCAAUCAAGUUCCUUCGCUCCUGAUUCCAACAAAGCCAAGAUUGCGGCAGCUUCCAUAUUUGCAAUUAUUGAUCGCCGGUCUAAAAUAGACCCAAGUGAUGAGUCUGGGAUGACACUAGAAAAUGUGAAAGGGAAUAUGGAGCUUCGUGAUGUUAGUUUUAAGUAUCCAUCAAGGCCAGAUAUUCAAAUCUUCCAAGCCUUAAGCUUGUCUAUUCAUGCUGGAAAGGUAAACGAUCCUUUUGCCAUACUGAACUCGCAAACACAUCACUUAUCAACAUAUUUGUAGAGACUAAAAUCAUACACGUAUCGAUCAUUUUGUUUCUUUCAGACAGUUGCCCUGGUUGGAGAAAGUGGGAGUGGGAAAUCUACUGUAAUCUCAUUAUUGCAGAGGUUUUAUGAUCCUGAUUCAGGAACUAUCACUCUUGAUGGAGUCAAAAUCCAAACGCUCCAAUUGAAAUGGCUGAGGCAACAAAUGGGGCUUGUCAGCCAAGAACCUGUUUUGUUCAAUGAUACAAUCCGUGCCAACAUUGCAUAUGGAAAGGGAGGAAAUGCAACUGAAGCAGAAAUUAUAACAGCAUCAGAGUUGGCCAAUGCUCAUACGUUCAUCAGUGCAUUACAACAGGUUACAGAUCUUUUUGAAAAUAGUCUCCAAAUUGGCUCAAUAAUGCAACCAUUACAAAAUAGUCUCCAAAUAUGCUUUGACUAAUGACUGGUUACUGAUCUUUUCACCUAUAUAAUCCAGGGUUACGAUACCGUGGUGGGAGAGCGAGGACUUCAAUUGUCAGGUGGACAAAAGCAACGCGUAGCCAUUGCACGAGCCAUCGUUAAAAGUCCAAAGAUACUGCUAUUAGAUGAGGCUACAAGUGCAUUGGAUGCAGAAUCAGAGAAAGUGGUUCAGGAUGCACUAGAUAAAGUGAUGGUGAACCGCACGACGGUUGUAGUUGCUCAUAGGCUAUCCACAAUCAAGAAUGCAGAUGUUAUAGCUGUGGUUAAAAAUGGGGUUAUUGUAGAGAAAGGAAAGCAUGACACUUUGAUAAACAUCAAAGAUGGUUUCUAUGCUUCCUUAGUUGCACUUCACAUGACUGCUUCCACUUCGCAGUAGGACUUACAAGUGUUGAGAGUCGAAUAUUCUACUUAAUGUUACCUAUGAUUGCAUUAAGUGAUUGAAUUCAAUUUUAACUCAGCCUCUUAGAAUUUGCAAGAUAGUUGCUUGAUACAAUAAUUCAUGCAGAUAAUCAUAUAUUAAUACCCAGAGGCAAAUGCUGUUUUCAUGAUACGUUUGCUCGUUCCUUUGAAUCCUACGGAAGAAAGAGUCAGAUUUGAUGAGAUAAACCAUGGGAAAAUUAAAGAAACUCUACUGCAUGUCUUAUAAUGAUGGAUAAUGGCCAAAGCAAUUUUUUUUAGAAUAAAGUAGAGAAGUUUGAAGAAAAAUGUUUAGGUUUUUAAAAUAUCAUUAUUCCUCGUUAUCGUUUUUAUUUUGCUCAAUCAAUUUUAACGGUGUGAAUAUUUCAAAAUAUAUACGUACCACUUCUUCCUCUCUUUUUUUUUUUUGCAAUUUUAAUCCAUUUUUAGUUACUUUUUUUCAUUUUACUUAUAAAAUUUUUAAUUCUUUCAUAUAUUUUUCAAAUAAUAUUUCAACUAUAAAUAUUAUUAAUUGAGUAAAAUUAACAUUUUUCUAUUACAUUCAAAUCAAAAUGUUACCUUUAUACAAUUUUAUCAUUUAAUUAAUCUACAUGUAUUAAUUAUUUACUUUAUAAUUAAAUUAAAUCACUAUUAAUUAUAAAAAAAUUAUUAAAAAUUAAUACUAUGUAGAAUAAACGUUUAAAUUUAAAUCUACAUAAAGAAAAAGCCAAACAGUGAUAAAAUUGAAUGCAAUUAAAAUCAAAUUAAAUUAAUUAAAAUUGAAUUAGUGAUGAAAUCGCACAUGUCGUAAACUGAAAAUGACCAAAAAGAGAGUUAAAACAUCACUAGAAAAAGUGGCGGAUUUGGGGGCCAAAAAAAAGGUUGAAGCGCAGACACACAUUUUUUUUAAUUUUAUUUUGUUAAUAGUAACUUAAUUUGUACUAUUACAAAUAAGUAUAAAAUAGUGUUAGCUUUUUUUUUUAAAUAUUUUAAUUUAUAUAAGCUAUUUGAUUUAUUCUUUCAUAUUUAAUUUUAAAAUGAAAUAUUUAAAAUUACUUUUAAUGACCAUAUAUAGAAACUUAUCUUUAAGAAUUGAAUUAAAGACAUACUUAAAACAAAUGGUGGCAAACUUUUAUGAUGGAUAUUAUUUAAAAAUAUUUUAUUUUAAAUUUUUUAAAUUUAUUCUAAUAUCAAUUAUCAUGAACUUACAUAUUAUUAUGUUUUAAUUUUAUAAUCAUUUUGUUAAUAAAUCGUUGCAAAAUUAAAAAUAGUUAUGACAUAAUUAAAUAAUUAAACAUUUAUUUUAUUUUCACUUUCUCAACCAUACUAUUUUUAUAUCAAAUUUUAAAAACAAUAUAAUAUAUUUUAAUUAAUACACGAUAGUAAUGAAAAUAAUUUAAACUAUUAUAUAAUAAAUAAAUUAUUUUAAAAUAAUAUAUAACAGCUAUUGAUCUUUUAUUUACUUAAAAAUAUAUUUUAAAAAUUAUUAACUAUAUUUUUUAAAAGUAUUAGGACUUAGGAGUCGUAAUAGUACUUAUCCGGAUAUUCCCCCAAAAAAUUCGUAGCCAGUUUUCCUGCCCGUGGCUUUUUACUAAUUUUCAGGAUUUUUUUAUUUACAAAUAAGGACAAGAAGUGAUCGUUAGACCUAUGUGGCAAUUAGAGAGACAACGUAAAGCCACAUGGCAGAAAAGCCUCUAGGAGCUGGCAAAAUCCUAGCCGUCAAUAUUCGGAUGAUGUCAUCGCACCGCUGAUAUUAAAAAAGAAACGCAUGCCAAAGUGCCAGUAAAGCGUGGCAAACCGAAUUCCUCACGAGCGCGCCACCGCCAAGCGCAACAAUCCUUCCACAUCAGCUUUAGAUUUAAUCGAACCACUAAUAGCGUGCCACAUGUGCUAUUUCCUUCCCUUCCAGGAAACUGAAACCGUUCAAGGCAACGUAUAUUCAAUAUAUGAAUGCAUUCUUCUCAAUCCAUUCUUAUAUUUUCCAAGCUAAACGGGAAUCGAAACCAUCUGAUUCACGCCAUGGAGACCUCUGGCAUUGUUUGUAAGACAGUUUCAAGGUUGCCGGCGGCUAGGGUUGAUUUUAGCGGACGGUUAUCCAGGGAAUUGAAUCAUGGUGUUGGAGAUUCCAGGGUUUCAGUUAGGCCGAGGAUUAAAUCUUGCAGGAGAUUGAGUUGCCAGUUUUCUGAUUUAGGGCAUGUCCAGUAUUAUGUGUCACCGAGGGGUGGUGGUGGUGGCGAUGCCACGAAGAAAGACAAGGGAAAGAGCUGUGAGAUUAAACAAGUCAAGAACAAGCUGAAGCUUCUCAAGCGGUUGUCCAAGGACUUGUCCAUGCUUCCUCAGAUUGCUAAUGGCGAGGAUACUAGGAUUGGAUUGGCCGCUGAAGUUAAGGCCACGAUCAUUCAUGUAAGAUAUUAAUUUUCCGUCUUCUUUUUCUACUUCUGUUUUUUUGUGAUUGCUUUGAUCUGGUUCGUGCCGUGACAAAAUGGUUUAAUUGCUCUUUAAUUAAACUAAGAAGCUUUCUUUGUAUGAGAAUUGUGAAAAAAGAAAUUUUGAAGUGGGAUUUUUGUGAUAUAUUGGAUUAAAACCUCAUAUGUUGUUUUGUUCUUUCAGGAAGCAAGCGGUGUUUUGCAGGCCCAACUGCAAAAGUUGAAAUCAGAACAAAAGGAGUUGAAGAGAAAAUUGAAAGAGGAACGAGCCAAGCUCAAAGCCACUUUUGGGAAAUCAGAAUCAUCAUCUUCCUCUGAAUCAAGUGACAGCGAAUGUGGGGAGGUAGUUGACAUGAAAGCCCUGAGAAACAAUGCUUUGAAACCUUCCCUAGAGGCAGAAACACCAAUUGGCAAUGCUUUGAAACGACCCGAAGAGAUAGUUAUAGAAGCUCCAACGGUGGCAGAGGAAGCAACAUUAGCUAACUCGCUCAUGGAACUAGAAAACUCAGAUUCAAGCCCCCAAAUUCGAAUACGAGUUCCUCUUGCUGGAUUGGAUGGUGAAUGUUGCAGUUCAAAUGGCUUCAAGGAUGGGCAGAGCAACAUCCUUGUGGAAGGGACAUCAACCAAGCAGAUUGAAGUUUGCAUGGGUGGCAAGUGCAAGAAGAUGGGAGCUGCGGCGUUGUUAGAAGAGUUUGAAAGGAAGUUGGGGGAAGAGGGCACUGUUGUGGCGUGCAAAUGCAUGGGGAAGUGCAAGACCUCUCCAAAUGUAAGGGUCUUGAACUCUCAAACGGAAACUACAACAAGAAUCAAUGAAGACUCUGUUAGACUUGGGAUUAAUCCUACAUGCACGGGUGUCGGGUUGCAAGACGUUAACCUCAUCGUUGCAAAUCUUUUGGGCAAGAACAUAGAUGAUGAAUGUCUGGUGCUCUCUUCUUGAGACUUCAUUUUGUUUCAUUCUUCGAUUACGAUCAUGAAUUUGUUAAUAGUGUGAAUAGGGGAAAUAUAGUGGAUGAGCUAUUGGCAUGGAUGAAACUACUUUAAAUCUAGGCUCUAGCGAUCUAGAUGAUAAUGUAAAAUGCUUUUAUCUUUCAGUUUUAGAGUAAUGUCGAAUGCAGCUUGAGGUUUUUAGUUUGUUCUGCAAAAUUUGUGCCAAAAUUUCAUCAUUUCCCUUCUUUCCGCUCUCCUCCUCCUCGGUUUUCCAAUCGCAGGUUCUAACAUAAAAUUUGGUAAUGCAUUACUACCGAUGAACAAGCCACUAAUCGAUUCGCAGUGACUAUAUAGAUAAACAUGCAAUAAUUUCACCAAUUUAAUGUCAAAAAGGAUGUUGGCAGAUUUGGGAUUUGAUUGUGGCUCCAAAGGUUAAGAAUUUCGUGUGGAGAGUUUGUCAUAAUCUUAUUCCUGCUAAGAACGUUGUUUCCAACAUGAUUCGGAACAUGAUUCGGAAUUGUUGGAACACAUUUUUUUCUCGAUUUGAAGUUUAAUUACAAAACAAGCCAAGAAGGCUUGUCUAGUUUUAAGAAAUGCUGGGGAUGAUGUUGCCAACCUUCUCGCUAUGUUUGUCUCUAUUGAUAUGAAGGAGCUUGUUUUGUUUGUGCAGUUGGCCUCUAUGGAAGGCCAGAAACUGUUCUGUUUUUUAGAACAUCCUCAGGAGGCUUUUUGAGUUGUGUGAACAGGGAUCUCUCUGCCUCUUACUGGGGCAGGAAGUGACUGCAAAGAUUCACUAAAUUGGCAAAAUUCUCCUUCGCCUUUGAUUGAAGCUUAAUUGUGAUGCAUAAUUUGAUAUUGCGGUGAUUUGCUUAAUUGUGAUGCAUAAUUUGAUAUUGCGGUGAUUUGCAGGGACUAUAAUAGUGAUAACGCUCGUACACCUCUGCUGAAACCAUGGUGAUAACACCCGUACACCUCUGCUGUAACCAUUGCAAUUCGUCAACUCUGCCCCUUAGCAAGUCAAAGAGGUUGGUCUCAUGUUUUUGUGAAGUCUUGAUUGACUGCAGCUUAUUCAAAAAUUAAAGAAGUCAGUUUCUUGUAAAGAUUGGAAAAUAUUGCGAUCCUAUUGUAAUAUUGUGUUUUCUUGGUUAGCUGGUAUGGCAGGGUAGCGCCCACACCUUCUGACUUGCUCAUUCUUUUGUCUAAUGUAAUCUGAGGCUUCAUGCCGUUUUCAUGAAUGAAAAAUGACAAUGCUGUUGGAGGAUAACGCAUGAAGAUGUCUUGAUAAAUGCUAAAGACGCUUGCUUUAUGGAAUUCAUAUCAGACAAGGAUAUACCGAUUACACAUACAUAUAAAUUCAAAAUAUUGCGAUACAAUUAAUGAACAACAUAUUUCAGCUGAAAGCAGGUUUAACUGCUAAAAAAUGCUGGAUUCAUUCAUACAUUUAUUAUUGCCGAACUACAAGGGAUUGAUACAAAGCCCUAGGCACCUGUCAGACUACAUUGGCAAAAAGUUAUUCCAAAACGCUUUCGCGGUUCCAAGAGGCACACAUAAUAGCUACUUCUUCUACCUUCUCUUUCCCAAUCAUUUUUGGUUCUUUAAAAACUGUGUGAUGUCGCAAGCAUCAGAAAACUGGCAAAGCACGUACGUUAUUCCAUGGAAAGCUGCUCCAACCUUUAUGACUGCCUGACAAGCGCAAAUAGAAGAAAUCAAGGUACAUAAUCUUCUGGAUUAGAAUAAAUUUCAUACAAAUUGAGAAGGCACAUUAAGUUAUAUCUAGCAUGAAAUCAACUGUCCCAAGCCCCCUUUUUGCCUCUCCUUUCCACCUCCUGUGAAUAUAGGUUCCCUGGAUUAUUAAUGCAUCAGUAUGAGCAGUACACUACUAAGUUUUUAGAAAUGUCAUUCAGACAUAUAUACUCUCUGGUUACUAAUAUUAACCUAAUUCCAGUCUUCCAUUAGUAUUGUGAUAUAAACAAAAAAGAAAGCAGAGAAAAGAUCCAAGAGGAAUAGGCAGGUUAAGACAUUUCACAUGCAAUUUCAUCAUGGUGCAAUUAAAUCAGAAUCAGAAUACUUCCACAGGCAUAGAGAUAUUGAAGAAAUAUUGGUUUUUCCUAGUAAUAGAUUUAGGAGCAUAAGACUUUCUACAGGAACACAAUUAAUAAUAACAAGAAACACUAACUCGGUCUUAGGUUUCAACAUUAUAUAUGUUCUCAUUAAAGAUAAAGAGCAACGAUGAUUAGCUUUAAGCAGGCAAGUAACACUUCUUAACAGAAAAUGCCACAAAAGCAAUCCAACAUUGAGCAAAUUAAGUCAAAGAAAUUACCUCUUCAUUCCUUAAAAAGCAUUUUGCAAGUCUUCCCAUCCUCGACUAACUGAUUAAUAGCAUCCCUUAACUUCUCAUAAUCCUCCAAUGUAUUAUAAACUUGAUGAGAAAUUCGCACAUAUCCCGUAAUAAAUCCAUCCUUAUCUCUAACACCCUCUUCCCCAUCCUUUGGAACCUGAUGAAAGAUUGGAACUUCAACCUCAUAACAAUCCCGCAAAUGUGACCUCAACUUCAAAGCAUCCUUCUCACUAUUAAGGCACAACCUCGACGGCAAACCAACCAUAAUCAUUGCAGCAGACAUCUCCGGGGGAGACCCUAAAUUUGUCCCCCAUGAUUCCGCCAACAUCUUCCCCAUCUUCACCACUUGAUCAUGGUUCCUCUUCAUUAUCCCCUCAAUCCCUCCUUCGAACCUGUUAACAAACUCCAAAACUGCAGGAACAACUAACUGAGAACUAUAAUCCCUAGUCCCAGUCCAGGCGCUUUCGAUAGGCAACCCAUUUCCAUACUCAUGUGAAACAACAGGGUGAUGCAAAUCAGAUGAUGUAGUCGAUUUAUUACAGUAUAAAAAUGCUACAGAAGGCGGGCAAAAGAACCAUUUAUGUAAAUUGCUAACAUAAAAAUCAGCUCCAACUUCUUUAACAUCCACUUUCACACUCCCAAUAGCGUGAGCCGCGUCUACGAACACCUGCUCUAUUCCUUCCGCUCUACAAAUCCUAACUAACUCUUUUACCGGAAUAACAACCGAUGGCAUUGAUGUAAUAUGAUCGAUAAUCGCUAACCUUAUCCUUCUACCGUUGGAUUUUCCUUCGUCGAUCGAUUUUUUGAGUUCGGAUAUGAUUUCUACCUCUGAAUUUACCGGGAAUGGUAGCCGUACCUCAAUGACGGAGCCGCCGGCCCGGGUGACGUACGCUUGGAUUGAUUUUUUGACGGCUUCAUACGCGCAGUGGAGCAUCAAAACAGUGUCAUUUUUCUGGAACUUCCCUUCGGCGAAACUGCGGCCGAUCCGUUGGAGCACGAUGGCCGCAGCGGUUGUGGCGUUAUCGACGAGGGAGACCUCGUCGACGUGGUCAGCGUUGAUGAGGUCCUUUAUAAUUUUCCGCGAAGCCGUUAUUCCGUCACGAAGGGAAUUAAAGUAAAAGGCAUCAGGUUGACGGAGGAACUGUAGCUGCCAAUGGCGUUGGGCAGCAAGAACCGAACCGGGACAGCUACCGAAACUCCCGUUGUUGAUGCGUGCGACACGUUGGUGGUGGUGAGAGAAUUCGUCUCGGAUAUCCGACUCGGUAAUGAACUGAGAUGAAAUUUUGGGUUUCUUGGAGCUGCGGUGAGUCGACUCACCGUUUCUAGGGUCAUCGUGCUGCAUCGGCGGAGAUAAGGAGCAAAUGGAAGCAAAUAAAAGGAAAUUAGGGUUUUGUCGUGAAAAUGGGCAUGAUUUUAAGAACUGGACAGUCGAUAGCUACCAAACAGUGGUAGUGCCCUUUUCUUGGUUUUAUUUGGUAUUUUUUUUCCAAUAAAAGGUUACCGUAUUCGUUUCCAGGGCAAGACUGGGACCGAUGAUAAUUGAAUAGAUAACGAUGAUGCAAGCAAUACGUCUUCGUUUCUUUUCCUCUAAACAAUUUGGGGAAUAUGCAAGUCCAGGGGUCAUGAGCUUGACACGUAGGAAUGUAGAAGCGGCGUCGUUUCAAUGAAGAACACGUCACACUGUAUGCUGUCAACAGCGGUCGACCAAUCAAAAGAAGCGAUCGAGCCAGCAGUGCAAAAUGAACCAUUACCGUAGGUUGAAAUGGGAGAUCAAUGACAAUGGCAACGGGCUCUGUUUCUGGUGCUCCCUUCGCUUAAUCUUAAGCGCCGAAAUCCCAACAAGAGACGGAGAAGAAAGAGAGAGUUAGAUCAAGAAGAGUCAAACAUAGCUAGGGUUCCAACUCCUUGAGAAUUCAAAUAAAACACUCUUCUUUCUUUCUUAUCCCGUCUCGUAUCAGGUUGGGAUUUUCUUAAUUUUCUAUUAUAUUCACAAAACCUAAAUUUAAUCUCAUUUCUUUUUCGAUUUUGGAUUUUAGAUUGGACUUCGGAAGAAGGGAUUGUAUUGAAGCUCGAAUUGAGGUGAAGAUAGGGAGUUAAGUGAUCAAAUUCCCCCAUUUUUUUAAUCCUGUGAGGUUACUUGUGGUGAGUUUUUGGGGCAUUAUUGAAUCUUAAUUGAUAUCUUGAAUUGGGUUUCCUUCAAAAUCCAAUCUUGUUCUUUGUUUGUUUAUGGAGUUUUAAGGUUUUCUUCCGGCUUUUGCCGGUGAACAUUGCGUUGAAGUUCUUCGCAAACGCUUUAAUCCUGCACCUUUGAUCCUCUUCGAAGAGCUGGAAUUUGAUCGGCAUUAUAUUCAAUUAAGGGAAACUUUCAAUUGCA